GGCAUCGUUCAGAUACCAUACCAAAGAAUGAGUCCAGAUUUUCCUCAACCUCCUUCCAAUUGUCAUGCGUUAAGUCCAUUUUUACAAGAAGUCCAGCAACGACAACAAUAGAGAGAGGUAAUCCUUGACAUUGUUGUACAAUAUGCUUCCCUAUUUCUUUUAGAAGAGGAGGACAAUGAUCUUUUAUGAAUAUUUUUUUGGUGAAUAGAUUCCAACUAUCUUCUAGACUUAGGAAAGACUUACUAUGAGGCAGAAAAUCAGGGUUGUUGACAUAAUCAGCAACAUACUUGAGCUGAGUGGUUAAUAGAAUUCGGCUUUUAUUGUUAUCUUUGGGAAGUAUUCUUUGGAUUUGGUCCCAUGCCUCAGUACCCCAAAUAUCAUCUAUGACAAUUAGAAAUCUCCUACCCUUCAGGCCUCUAUACACAAUCUCCAUUAGUUCACCAUUGCUUGUUUCUUGCUUGCUUCCAGUAAUUGAAGAGACAAGUUCAAGAAGCAUUUGUCUCUCACUGUAUUCUUGAGAGAUAGUGACCCAUGCUUGUUAUCAAAUCGAGAACGAAUGUAUGAAUCAUCAUAAACUUUUCUGGCAAGAGUUGUCUUACCUAUACCUCCCAUACCAAAAAUUGGUAUGACAGGUAACUCGUCUGUUUGGGCAGUGAGGCGAUCAAGUAUGGUGUUGAAGUCAUCCUCCAUCCCAACAAUACUAUUUUCCUCAAUUGUACUUUUUUCUGGUGAGGAGAGAGUUACUGCGGAUUUGCUUCCAUGCUUGUUAAACUCAUUCUGCAUCACCUCUUGCCUGAGAGAAUCAACAUCUUUUUCCACUUGUACCAAUUCUUCCUCAAAGAAUUUACAAGCCCCUUCUUUAUUCUCUGUGCAAUCUGCUAAAACGAUACUUCUUAGGCUUAAAUCAACUUUAUCUUCUGCUUUGUAUAUUACAUCUCUGAUCCUCUUUUCUAUAAACUUAAGAGUUUCAAUAUCCUUUGUGGUAGUAUUGUCAAGGAAAAGUUGCAGAGCAGAAAGAUUUUGAUAGAGAGAUUGAAGAUGUUGUGUAGAGCAUGGACAAACGAAAGAUUGAUUAGGUUUGAAGAGUUGUUCCAAUGUAUACAUAAGUGAAGAAAGAGCGGCAGAAGCCAUUUCUGAAGGAUUUAAUCUCCCUGCUUUAGUAGCUUUGUUUUGUGCAAAUGAUUAACUUUUUUCUAUAAUCUUUUGCACACUGAAGAGGAUAAGAAAUGUGUGCUUUAGAAUGGUCCAUAUAUACCUGACCUUUCAAAAUUUUUUUAAAUUUUUUUUUUAUAUAAAACCAAUCUAUAUCUAUAUCUAUAUUACCUUAGAAGCAUGAAUUCCUAACUUGAAUGUUAAAUUACUAAAAUAUCCUUAACUUAGGUAGUGACUUUUUCGGUGAGUGUUGUGACUUUUAUGAUAAGUUGUGACUUUUUUCAAAGGGUUAUGAUUUUUCCAUGAUUUGUGACUUUUCCAAAGAGAUGUGACUUUUUCAAUAAGUUGUGACUUUUUCAAAGGGUUGUGACUUCUCAGAAAAGUUAUGACUUUUCAGAUAAGACACAAAAAACAUUUGUUCAUACUACCCUUUGUUGACUAUAAAUAGAGGGAUUUCUCUCAUUUUUCAACCACAAUUUUUUUAAUAAUCUAAGCAUGACCAACUUUACUAAUACAUAUAUCUUAUUCGGUACUAUUUUUAUACCGUACCAUGCCAAGCGACUCUUCAUUCUCAUAAUCACAAAAAAGUUAAUUAUUAUCCUUGCCGUUCUUUAUAUUAAUUUCUUCAUAUUAAUGCCUAUUAUUAAAAAAAGGAUAAUGCAUAAGUACUGUUUUAUUUAAAAAGAUAUGUAAAAGGAAAAAUGACCGAGUUUUGAAAAAUCGAUUAAACUUAUAGUUAAAGAGUAAUCAAAUUUUCAAAAGAACAGAGUCGCCACUUAAUUUUUAGUAAAAAAUCAAGAAAAAAUACAAGAUUUUUUCAAAAUGAUUUAAACAGAUAAAAUCAAUUAGAAAAAGGGUUACGAGUUCAAAUGUACAUUCCGAGAAGGUGUUAGGCCCUCGGAAUGUCCGCUAACUCGCGGUUGACCGACGAUCUGACCAAAAUGCUUUUGACUAAUUUUGAAAUUUUAUCUAAGUAAAAGAAUUCAUUUAUUUUAACUAAUUUUAUUGAGAUUUUAACCAAGUAAAAAAAAAACUCAUUUAUUUAAACUAACUUUUUUGAAGUUUUAACUAGGUAAGAGAACUUAUUUACUUUAUAACUAACUUUGAAAUUUUGACUAAAUAAAGGACUUAUUUUUUUAAAAAUUUUAAUUAGGUAAAAGAACUUAUUUAUUUUAACUAAUUUAUUUAUUACUAUUAUUAUUAUUUUUUUAUCAUUUCUAUUUAUCUUAAGGGAAAUGAGACUAAAUGGGGUUUUUCUAAGGAGAAGUAACUUAGCGACGAGACAAAUAAUAGAAUUAAAACUAAGUAUGAAAUCUACAUAUUUUAAUUUAACAUUGGGCCAAAUCUACAUAUAUAUAUAUAUUAUAUAUGUGAAAUGGUGAUCUUUGGGUAUUUAAUUAAAUUGAACCAUAAGAUAAUCAAAGUGUUAGUCAAAUAGAAUAAAAUAAGUAAGAGAGGGAAGGGAAAUAUUCAACUUUGGACCUAUUAUAGCCCAGAAACAUUGGGCCAAAGAUGCUGAUUUUUGGACUUUGAAAUCCAUUCCCGUUUUUUGUAUACACAAGUUGUAUAUCGGUGCAUACAACUCGUAUAUUGGCCCCGUUUCCUGUAUCUCGAGCUGCAUACCGAAUGUAUACAACCCACUUCAACUUUCAACACCUGUAUUUCGAAUUUAUGCCUAGUAUUUCCGCAUUCGACUUGUAUAUCAUUGUAUAUUUGCAUAUAUUUUGCAUAUUCCUCUGUACACAACGUGAUACAGCCUGCUUUUGGACUUCUGGGGGCCUGUUUCAGCUUCUUUUUCAUCGAAAAUAUGAGGAUGACUCGAAACGACUCAAGGAUAUGCAAGAGUGGAGUCCAAAGUGAACUCGGAUUGGUAUCACAUGCAACAAAAAUGAUAGUAAGGAUUAGUGUCCGAAAAAUAAUAGAGCAAUAAUAUAUCAAAAAUAAAUCAUAAACAACACCUAAAUUAAUAUAUGGCAAAUACUCUAUUGGACUAAACAGUGAAAACCUAUAAAAUGAGUACAAAUCCUAAAAAAAAAUACUAAUAACCCGAGUCAUGCUAAUGAUAAAAGAUGGCUACUUUAAGUUACUGUCUUCCAACAAAUUCACAUAAAACUAAAUCCGAACUGAUAUAAACAAAAUGGCUAUUCACUCUAUGCACUGCAUGAUAAGUAUUACAAGUGAUUAGCACUAUAAACCAAAUUAAUCCAAACAUCUUCCAUGUUCCAGGAGUGAACAAAUAGCGGAAUACUAUUCAAACCGAAACAAUACGAAGCACCAAAAAGAAGCUAAGGCAUGAUAGAAAUGAAUUGAUGACUUUGAACUAGUACAAACCAAUCAACUCAGAAGCAAAUAAUGAACAAGAAAAACUUAAACAUUCGAAAUUCAAAGCUAAGAAUCGAAUUAGGAGCAGAACUACGAAGAAAAGUGAUCUUAAAAUGUGAGCUCGGUACUUUGAAUAAACCUGAACAACGAUCCAGCAACUUGAGAAUAGAGACUAGCCACAUCUAUUAUAUGGAAUUAGUAACUCAAAACAAAAGAAGGGAAAUAGUCUAGCUUUUAUCACAUUUACACCACUUUGAUAGAAACAAGAAUGGAUAGUGAAGAAAUCAAACCAACAAGCAACAACUUUUGAGCUAGAAAACGGUUCUAACCACAUUCACUAUCCCCGCACACACGUACUUGGAUCAUACUCUACAAACCAACGACCAAGGUUUCAAAUCACACGAGGAAAUCCCCUAUUCCUAGUGAACUAUCAAAACAAUAUAGUCAACUAAACAAACAAACAAAAUCAAAUUUAAGAGGAACUGUAAGAAGAACGAGGUUGCAUACCUUUUCCAAGGCAGCGAGACUGGAACUCGAAACUUUGAAGCGCUUCCACCACUCUGAGCCGAUUAAGAUGAGUUUCGGAAAGCAAAAGAAUCUCCAAUCUAAAAAUAUCCUCUGUUUCAGAGGAUGAAUCUCUUUCUAUAUUCUCUCAAAUGUAUUUUGUAUGUAUUCUUUAUAUCUAUUUCAUGUUGGAUCCUUUAUGAGAUAUUUUUCUCUAUAUGUGAGUUGCGGUCCCCCCUUAAAAGAUGAGGAGAAGUGAGCUUUUUAUAGGGGAAAAUUAGGGCUGGGAGUCGGGAGGGAUCUUGAGUGAAGUCCCCCAAAAUUUGAAAUUUGAAAUCCUAAAGGAUAAAGAGUAGACGAGCUGGAAUAGUACCAUUCUUCAACGGAUUUGAGAGGAGGAUCGUCCGAUUUAAGGGAAAGGACGAAGAGACAAGAAGAUGGAGACACCUGGAUAAUUCGACAACGGCCCUUGUACGAAAAAGAACAUGCUGCGGGUGAGAGGGGGAUGCGCUGGAUUUGGGUCGGGUUGCUGGGUUCGCGUUCUGGACUGGUUCACGAGUUGCUGGGUUUGUUCGCAGCGAGGAAGACGCUGGGGUCGUCUGGUUUGGACGUUGUAAUGGAUUUGGUGGCUUUCUGGUAUUGUUGGGUUAUUUGGAAUUGGAAGUGGGUUGGGUUGGAGAUGGGAAUUAGAAUUAGAAUGGGAAAUAAGUGGGCUGGAAAUAAUGGAAUGGGCUGCUCAAAAAUUAAAAGAAACGGCCCAAAUGGUCUUGCAAAUGAGUUAAAGUGAGGCUAGAUUUGCAAUGCAAAAAAAUGGCCACAAGAAUUACAAUUAUGGCCAAUGGGAAUUAAGAAGUUAACCAAAUUUAGUUUAAUUUAGAGAAUUUGACUAAAAUUUAAACAAGACGAAUUAAUAUUGAUUAACUAGCGAGCUUCUUAAUUUUAACGAAAUAGAAUAACUUACUUAAUUAUAAACUAAUAACUCAAAAAUAUAAGUAUUAGCUAACUAAACCCAAUUAACCAAAUAUUUAAGUAAAACUAAAACUUUUUUUGAGGCAAUUUUUGAAUAUUCAUAAAAUAUACUAUUUAAAUACAAAAUUAUAUAAAACAUAUAUAUUAUUUAAAAUUAUAAAAGGUGACAAAACUAGAAAUAACUUGCAAAUCAUUUUUUGAAAUUUUAUAAAACUAAUAUUCUGAAUCGUUCGAGAAUUAAGAAGCUCGUGAAUUAAUUCCUAUCGGGGAGUCAAAAUUGGGUGUCAACAAGUACCCCCCUAAACUAUGACCGAAAUCCCAGAGACACACCUAAACUUAACUAAGAUUCUAUUACCCCUGAACUCAUUUUAUUCGUAUUUUUGUGCACCUUUUGUGUUGAUGUGGCACCUUCAACCACCCAAGUUGGUUGUGUUUGUAUACACUCGCCCGCCAUGUGUGUAAAUAUUAUUAUUUUUUAAAAUAAAAAUAUUUAAAUAAUAUUUCUUAAUUAUUUUUUUUAAAAAAAUUUUAAUUGUUUUUUAAAAAAAUAUUCUCAUUUUUUUAUCUUGUAAUUAAAUUAAGUUAAUACACAAUUUUUUACCUUGUUUCGAAAUAUGUUNNNNNNNNNNNNNNNNNNNNNNNNNNNNNNNNNNNNNNNNNNNNNNNNNNNNNNNNNNNNNNNNNNNNNNNNNNNNNNNNNNNNNNNNNNNNNNNNNNNNNNNNNNNNNNNNNNNNNNNNNNNNNNNNNNNNNNNNNNNNNNNNNNNNNNNNNNNNNNNNNNNNNNNNNNNNNNNNNNNNNNNNNNNNNNNNNNNNNNNNNNNNNNNNNNNNNNNNNNNNNNNNNNNNNNNNNNNNNNNNNNNNNNNNNNNNNNNNNNNNNNNNNNNNNNNNNNNNNNNNNNNNNNNNNNNNNNNNNNNNNNNNNNNNNNNNNNNNNNNNNNNNNNNNNNNNNNNNNNNNNNNNNNNNNNNNNNNNNNNNNNNNNNNNNNNNNNNNNNNNNNNNNNNNNNNNNNNNNNNNNNNNNNNNNNNNNNNNNNNNNNNNNNNNNNNNNNNNNNNNNNNNNNNNNNNNNNNNNNNNNNNNNNNNNNNNNNNNNNNNNNNNNNNNNNNNNNNNNNNNNNNNNNNNNNNNNNNNNNNNNGGGGGUAAUAGGACCUUAGUAAAGGUUAGGUGUGUCUCAGGGAUUUUGGACAUAGGCUGGGGGGGGGGUACUUAUGCAUUUUCCCGUUUAAUUAUCAAUAAAUAUGUGUACUGACUAAUUAUAAAGUUUUCAAUUAAAAAAUGACAUGUGUCCAAUUUGUGCACUCAUCACUUGCCUUCAAGAAAGUGUGCACACUCUCUAUGACAUGUCAGCAUUUGUGGGUGUGUUUAUUCCAUUUUAAAUUAGUUACGUUUAGGGAGGUAAUAGAACUCUAGUUAAGUUUAGGUGUGUCUUUGGAAUUUCGGUCAUAGUCUAGGGGGUACUUAUGCAUUUUCCUUUAAAAAAAUAGUCAAAGUGUUUUUGUUCUGUCUGCAUGCUUCAAUUGCACAAAAAUCGUGAGAAGAACUCGUAAGAAUUGUGCCUUGCCAUUCAAUUCUUGACAUUUGACGAGAUAAGUCUAUCACUCUAUAAAUGGAGGAUCAAUAAGUGACUUUACUUCAACAUAUUUAAUCAGAGUGAAAAAAAAAUUACAUUGUCACGCCCUGAGCCUACACCCUGGGCGGGACCGGCACCCGGAGACCAUUUCUGGCCCCAAGCGAACCCUUAGCCUGGCUUUCUUAACUCAACGGAAACCUAACCCAACAGAAUAACUCAAUGCAAUGCAAUAUUACAAAACAACUUAACUUAUAAAAUAUAGCCAUAAAGGCAACUCGAAUUCUCAAAAUAGAAUAUUUACAUAUAUACAUAGAUGAGAGACUUAAAACUAACUGACUGACUGUCUGUCUAUGAAGCCUCUAAAAUACUAAGAUAGAUGUUGGGACAGACCCCGCAACAUCCUAAUAAAACAAAAACUAAGAACACAAAAUAAUUGAGUCCUCCGGAAUGCAAGGAGGCUCACCACUGACUCUGGAGUGCUCAGCUGGAUCAACGACGUGCAGGUUGCUGAUCCGGGGUACCUGUAUCUGCAUCAUAAGACGAUGCAGGCCAACUGGCAUUAGUACAUGGAAUGUACGAAUAUGCGAGCUAGAAAACUAAGCAACAUAGGCUAGAAGGAAAUUUGGAAGAAACUAAAAAGUUUACCUUGCUCAACUUAACUCAACCUGACUGACUUCUUUCAAUCUAAGGCAAAACAAGCGCGAUAUAAAGAAAGAUUGUUUAAAACAUGCUAUAAACUCUGUGUGUAUACAAGGAUACAAUAAACCUGAGAUGUAUAUAGAAAUACAAUUGAACUGAUGUAUAUAAAAUACAAUAAUUUCUGUGUAUAAAAAUACAAUAACUGUUGUGGGAGCUUCUCAAACCGACAACCAUCACAUAAGAGCAAUAGUGAUGAUACAGCGAUCGACCUCACAUUGCCAGAGCAUCUUAUACCCGGUCAAAGGUAUAAGACCUGAACUGCCUAAUGGAUCCACUAGUCUAUCUGGAAAAGGAUUCAUCUAAAAAGUAUGAUCCUUUUCUACCCAUGGUGGCUAACAUGGUUCUAUGGGGGCUGUGGGUUCUUUGAACGCUCCCCCAAUUUGGUGCUCGAUACUACUUCCAAAAAAAUGUACUGGCUCUUAUGAUUUUAAAACAUAUGUCUUCCUGCUGAUAUGAGAUAAUUACUCAAAAACUAGCCCGAAAGGCUCUUUGGAAAUCUCAGUUUCCAACCUUGUUUAAAUGUAAAGACAUUUCUUUAAAACUUCUUUGGGAAUACAUAGUUCCCUAAUAACUUUGAGAAAUGAACUCAACUUUAAACUCUUUACUCAACUUGAAACUAGAGACUCUUUACUUAGCUUGAAAUUCUAAGCUCUUUGCUUGACUUGACACUUGAGUCUAAAAAUGAAGUUAAAACGUUCAAUAAAGACUCUUGAACAACGUUACAACCUGCUUGACUUGCUUAAUCUCUAAGCUUAACUCUUAACUUCUAACUUCACUUGACUUCUAACUAACUUUCCUUGAAUUGGAAUUAUGAAUUCAAGGGUAAUGAUUUGUGUUUGGAAGGACCCCAUGAUGUUUAGGAAUAAUUUAGGACAGCUACGCUUAAGAAGAAUUACGAAAUUAAAUUCUGAAAAUAGAGCAGAUUUUGCUCACAGAGGGAACACAGCCGCGACGCAGACUUGUUUCCUGAAAGCAGCCUGACUUUUCGCCUUCAUGUUGCCAACUCUAACCCUCUUAACUUCAAAGGUUCUUUUCCCAAACACUUGGGGUCAUAAACCCCUCAACAUACAGUGGAUUCCACUCAAAAACACAACCAAAUCCUGUCCCAAAUCAGCAAGAACUUCAACAACCAAAAUAAAUCUUUUCUUGGAAUUAAAAAUGAGUUGGUGUGUGGGGGUAUGAACCAACCAACACUAAGGAUCAUAAAAUCCCUCAACAUACAAAAGAUUCAACUCAAAUACACAACCCAAUCAUGUCCCACAACCAACAAUAACUUCAACAACACAACUAUCAACAUCAACAACAACUAACAACUUCAACAACAAUUUCAAUCUUUUCUCAAAUCAUAAAAAUGAGCUUGGUGUGUGGGGGGGAAAGGAUCACCCAACACUAAGAACUCACAUACCUUGAUAGGGAUCACCCCCGACGAAAAUCCACGAUGAUCUUGAAGAAUCUUUGCUUGAUCUUCCCUUUCUCCUCUUCUUCUCCUCUUCUUCUCUUCUUCUUCUCUUCUUCACUCUCAAGAACCCUAACUCUUUCUCUUUUAAAAUGGGACCAAAAAUGAUCCAAAAUAAGCCUAACACACAAUACAAUCCCAAAACAAAUGGCUAGGGAAAAGACCAAAAUGCCCUUAAAAUUUCCAGACGGACUCCCUGCCAACUGCCCAACUUUCAAAGGGCAUAACUCGCUCAUACAAACUCGGAAUCGAGCAAACUCGGCGGCGUUGGAUAGAUCAUUACACAAGCUUCACAACCAUAACUGGAACUACUCCUAACUCAUCCUGAGCUAGGAGUUAUGACCGCUCAAAGUUGGCCAAAAUCUCACUGAUUUCCACACUUAACCAAUUUCCAGAUUUUUAAAUUUUUCCAAAAAUGACUAUUUCCAAUUUCCAAGCUUUUUCAUAGUUAUUUCAAAUUGCCGGAUGUUACAUACAUCCUCAAACACUUAUAAAUAGUGCACUACAAUUUACAUGGAGGGAUCUUUUCCAAACCCCAUUAGUGCAUCUGUGAAAAGCAUCGAAGCUCUACGAGAUACCUUCAUCACACGACCAACAAGUGGUACCUUCAUUGUCUCCCUAUUCCAUAAAGGUUUCUUAUCCCAGCUGCAAAAAUUGUUUGACAACCACUCAAAAAAUAGGAAUAAACUAUAUGACUAAACAUUAUAUUAUAUAUAUAGAGAAUAUAUUUGGCAAGACGAGAGAGGCUUGCUCAGUUGGUGAAACACCUCCACCUUUAACCAAUUAUAUUGGUCGAGGGUUCAAGUCAUGUUGUAAGCAAAUAUGGGGGAGUACAGCUUAGCAAGGCUCAUUCGUUUUGCCAAAAAGAAACAUUUUUUGCAAAAGUAUGUCAUGUGACGAGUACACAAAACAUUAUAUAAGAGUAUAUUUUGGCAAGACGAGUGAGACUUGCUCAAUUUGUUAGACUCCUCUGCCUUAAGCUUGUUGGUCGAGGGUUCAAGUCACAUUAUACCAAUGAGGGAGAACACAACUUAGCAAGCCUUAUUCCGUUUUACCAAAAAUGAAACAUCUUUUGGCAAAAUUAUGUCAUUCGUCAAGAACACAGAGAUAGCUAAAAGUGGCAUUAACCAACCAUGAAUUUGUGCGACUUUAGGAUUAAGUUUAUCGAACAUGUGAAGUUGCACAGAACAUGAACAUACUUAAAGAAGUACACUAUGGCGAAACAAAGUGUUACUUGCCUCUUACAUUUACACAAACUGAAAAAUAAUGUUAGAAUGUCAUGGCGAGAAUUCUUGAUGUGAAAUAUAUACAUACCAAUCUUCAUGACGAACAACCUUUCCUCCUUCUGUGUACAACUUGAUUAGUGAUAUCAUAUGAAUGUCUUUCCCCAAGAACUUGUAAUAUUGUUUGUUUUCAAUUAAAAUCUGAAGCCAUCAACCUUAAUGUCAGAGUUCUAAAGAAGAGAAUAAACAAAGCGAAAAGAAGAUGCAAUAGGAUGGAUGUAUCUUAAACCUCUUUAUUUCCAGGAGAAAUUUCUUUUUGUAUGACGUUGUACUCCACGAUUCUCGACUCACUGAACACCUGAAAUGUACAAAAAGAAACAGUUUGACAUUAUCCAUACACAACAAUCCCAAGCCUAAAGGAAGACAUAAUAUAGUAAUAAAUUGAUUAACUUUAAGAAGAAAGGAUUGGCUAAGAACUUUUGACGUAAACCAUAGUAGUUACACUAGUCUCUCAACAUACAACAGAGAUUAUGCUGGGAACCUUUGAUAUUUUUGUGAUGUAUUCUUUUCAAGAAAUGAGUUAUGAUAUCCAUAUUUUAGAAGCAAAACUGAUUUUAAAACUGUAUCGCGCAAUGCGAUUUUCCAAAAGGUUCUUUCCUAUAUCUUUUUUUGUUCUUUCCACAAUAAAGUGUAUCAAUCUAGCAUAGUAGGAUACUAGUAUGAAAUAGGACACUUAGCAAGAAGUAAAUUAUUUAGACCUUCCCAAGCGAAUGUAAUGACAAUUUAACCUGCUUUACCCUGCAAUCCACAGUAAAAUUCAUAGUCAGGAUUACAAAAGGAACAAACUAAUUACUAGACGCUUGAAAGGAUAGACAAGUUUAGCAUACCCCUCUGCAUGCAUAAGGGGAUCUUCAAAUGUUGCAUUUGGAGCAUAAAUCUCAAAAUCUUGUGCCUUGGCUCGCGAUGAAUAUCUGAAAUUUAUUUGCAGAAAGCUUGUCAUGAUCAUAAUUACUAUAAAAAAAAAAGAUUAAUUAACUAAUAAGUUAUUGAUUAACAGAUAUCACUAAUAGGGAUGGCAAUGUGGCAGGGCGAUUUUAAGGCUAUGCGGGGUGGGGCAGUUGGGAUGUGGGGCGAGUUGAAGUGAGUUUUUUAAAAACUAAUGCGGGGCGGAGCGGGUGGCGGGUUCAAACUUAAUUUUAACUUUUUACCUGUUAUAAGAGUGAUAAAACAUUAUUUAUUAAGAUAAUUUCUUAAAAGUUACUAAAUUAUUCAAGAUAGUACAUGAAAAUGGUUCAAUAAAAACUACUUAUACAGUUUUUUACAUGCUUCCCAAUUAACCUUUAAAAAAUAAAAUUCUAAGUUAUUGUUUAUUUAAUUAAUACAACUUAAUGCGAAAAUUGUCACGCCCCGAGCCUACACCCUGGGCGGGACCGGCACCCGGAGACCAUUUCUGGCCCCAAGCGAACCCUUGGCCUGGCUUUCUUAACUCAGCGGAAACCUAACCCAAGAGAAUAACUCAAUGCAAUGCAAUGUUACAAAACAACUUAACUUAUAAAAUAUGGCCAUAAAGGCAACUCGAAUCUCAAAAUAGAAUAUUUACAUAUACAUACAUAUACAUGGAUGAGAGACUCAAAACUAACUGACUGACUGUCUAUGAAGCCUCUAAAAUACUAAGAUGGAUGUUGGGACAGACCCCGCAACACCCUAAUAAAACAAAACUAAGAACAUAAAAUAAUUGAGUCCUCCGGAAUGCAAGGAGGCUCACCGCAGACUCUGGAGUGCUCAGCUGGAUCAACGACGUGCAGGAUGCUGAUCCGGGGUACCUGUAUCUGCAUCAUAAGACGAUGCAGGCCAACUGGCAUCAGUACAUGGAAUGUACGAGUAUGCGAGCUGGAAAACUAAGCAACAAAGGCNNNNNNNNNNNNNNNNNNNNNNNNNNNNNNNNNNNNNNNNNNNNNNNNNNNNNNNNNNNNNNNNNNNNNNNNNNNNNNNNNNNNNNNNNNNNNNNNNNNNNNNNNNNNNNNNNNNNNNNNNNNNNNNNNNNNNNNNNNNNNNNNNNNNNNNNNNNNNNNNNNNNNNNNNNNNNNNNNNNNNNNNNNNNNNNNNNNNNNNNNNNNNNNNNNNNNNNNNNNNNNNNNNNNNNNNNNNNNNNNNNNNNNNNNNNNNNNNNNNNNNNNNNNNNNNNNNNNNNNNNNNNNNNNNNNNNNNNNNNNNNNNNNNNNNNNNNNNNNNNNNNNNNNNNNNNNNNNNNNNNNNNNNNNNNNNNNNNNNNNNNNNNNNNNNNNNNNNNNNNNNNNNNNNNNNNNNNNNNNNNNNNNNNNNNNNNNNNNNNNNNNNNNNNNNNNNNNNNNNNNNNCUUUCCAGCUGAUAUGAGAUAAUUACUCAAAAACUAGCCCGAAGGCUCUUUUGGAAAUCUCAGUUUCCAACCCUGUUUAAAUGUAAAAACAUUUCUUUAAAACUUCUUUGGGAAUACAUAGUUCCCUAAUAACCUUGAGAAAUGAACUCAACUUUAUGCUCUUGACUUAACUGAAAACUCGAUACUCUUUACUCGACUUGAAACCGUAUACUUAACUUGGAACUGGAGCCUUAGAAUGGAGUUAAAACAUUCAAUAAAGACUCUUGAAUAACUUACUUGAACUUGCUCUUAAACCUUGCUUGACUUGACUCUAACUUCCCUUAACUUUGGUCCUAACUCGCCUUGAAUUGGAUUAUGGAUUCAAGACAUAUAAUCGCAUGUUUAUAGAUGAGUUUGGGAGGUAUAAAUGCAACUUGAAGUGUAGGAAACAACUUGGAAACAUAGGUAUAAUACCUAGGAACAUGUAUGAGAAAGCAUGGAAAGAAUGAGGGAACAUGGCGUCCUUGGCGCUCUGCAAGGCGCAGAGCGCCAGCCCUUGAAGGUCAGAAGUCACCUGCUGGCGCGCCGCCCCAAGGGCUGGACUUCAGAGUCCCCUUUGGGGCGCGUUGGCAGGCGCGACGCGCCAGCCCCUUCCCCAGAAAACCCAACUUUUCUCCCUCUUUUCUUCAACUCUAAACCACCCUAACUUCAAAGGUUCCAAUCCCAACCAUUAGGGAUCACAAAAUCCCUCAAUAUACAAUAGAUUUCAACUCAAGAACACAACCAAAUCAUGUCCCACAACCAACAAGAACUUCAACAACACAAUCAACAACAUCAACAACAACUAACAACUUCAACAACAUAUCCAAUCCUUUCUCAAAUCAUAAAAUGAGCUUGUUGUGUGGGGGAAAGGAUCAACCCACACAAAGAACUCACAUACCUUGAUAGGGAUCACCCCCGACGAUUUCCACAACGGAACCUUGACGGAACUAGUUGAUCUCCUCUUUCUUCUCUUCUUCUUCCCCUUCUUCUCUUCUUCUUCUCAAGCCCUAGCUUUUACUCUUUUAAAAUGGGACAAAAUGAUCCAAAGAUCAGCCCUAUACAACAAUAUAAUACCCAAAGAAAUGGCUAGAGAAAGACCAAAAUAGCCUAAAUUCGACGGAUUCCCUGCCAACUGCCCAACUUUCAAUGGCCAUAACUCGCUCAUACAAACUCGGAAUCGAGCAAACUCGGUGGCGUUGGAAAGAUCAUUCCACAAGCUUCACAACCAUAACUGGAACUACUCCUAACUCAUCCUGAUCUAGGAGUUACGACUGCUCAAAGUUGGCCAAAAACUCACUGAUUUUCACACUUGGCCAAAUUUCCAGAUUUUAAUUUAUUUUUUUUUCAUAGUUAUUUCAAAUUGCGGAUGUUACAAAAAUGAAUUUAUUUUUAUGAAUUUUCUUUUUAGUAUCAAAAUUAAUUAAAAACGGCAAAUAUUCAAAAAUUUAUGUGGGGCGGGGUAGGGUGAGUUGAAAAUGAAAAAAAGUUGUUAUGCACGGCGGGUUAAAAUAAUUGCGCGUUAAGCUCAACCCUCCCCGUCUCAUUGCCAUCUCUAAUCAAUAAAACAAUAACUCCGUUUCAAACAAGUUGGAGAUAAAUAUGGAAGUAAACAAUAUUUUCCUCCACACUUUAUAUGCUAGUCUUAUUUUCUGAGUGCGUGAAAAUUCUGACUCUGCCAUGCAUGUGACUAAUUGCUACAAUAUACAUGGUAGUAGAUUUAAAAACAUAGUAAGAGAAAGAAAAUUAAAAGAAUAACAUAAAACAUUUAAUUGGGAGUGAAACUCACAAAUUGAGAAGAUGUGGAAGUAUAUAAUGAGAAGCUGUAUAAUCAUCACCAGCUUCGUUCAAGUACCCUUCUCUUUCUUCAUCCUUCAUUCCUAAUACACAAUUCCCAAAAAUAAUUGAGAGAUACACCACAAAUUAACAAAAUUAAACUUUUUUAACAAAAUGUUCCAAGUUUACAAGUCUUUUUUAGCAGGUGAAAACAAAAUAGGAAGAAGAUAAUAAUGAAAGAUGGAAAUGAAGAUACCUUUGGAGUAAUUCGAACUUGAAGCUCAUAAUUUCCCAAGCUCUCUUGCUCUUGUUGAAUUCUCUUAGCACUAUUAUCUACAGAAGAGCUGCAAUUAUCUACUUGGAUCAAUUUUAGUGUCAUUAUAUCUCCAAUACUCUCCGGAAUCUCCUCCAGUGUAUCGAACCCAUAAAGUAUUAGUUGCUCAAGCAUAGGAAAAUUAUCACUACCAGUUGCUUCCCACCUUUCCAGAUCUGCUUCACCAAUUUGUAGAUAUUUUAAUUUGCGAAACACAACAUCUUCAUCUACUUUCCAAUCUGUUCCAGAAAAUGCAUACUCCCCGCUGAUCACCUCAAGAUUAGGUAAAUUAGCCAGCAAAUUCACAACUUCCCAUGGUAUAUAAGUACCUAAUAAUAUCAAUUUCUUGAUAUUAGGACUUAAUUUCUUGAUUUUACAAGACAAAAUAUCUCCAGAGAAAAUGUUCAGGUCAAUGCUCUCCAGCUUUAUGAGUAGCGUCUCCAGCUCCUCUAGAAGAAUUAGAGAAUCAAGAAUUUCAGACCAGUCAGGAUUCUCAGAUUCAUCUAUGAACUUUAGCUUUUUUAGAUUGGGAGUUCUUUUUAUGAUUUCCACAAUAAAAUGAGAGUUAUAGAGAUAAAGAUUUUGCAAGUUAUUCAGAAACAAGGGAUUUUCUGCCUCAAGAGGAUUAGAUAUAUAUAGUGGAGAAUCAAUAUCCACAUGUCUUAGCUCUGACAUUCUCCAGAUAUCUACUGGCUCCUCCAACUUUGUUGAUCUGUUGACACCAAUAUUUUCUUGAAGAAUUAUGAUCUGUAGAUUUCUCAAUUUGUCUAGUGAAAGAGCUUUAUCAAUUCUUGCAGCAACAUAUCUCAAAUGUACAAGUUCAGGUAUUACACAAGAGAAAUCGUACCAGAGUGAUAAUACAUCCAACACCUUAAGCAACUUGAACUUUGAAACAAUGGAACAAAUCCUUUCUGGAAAAUCGUAGUAAUAAAAAUAUUCCAUUGAAAUAAAGGUACGAGUUAUACCACUACAAUGCAUUGGAGGAUAAACUUGCUUCUCUUGAAGUUCAGACAGAAUGAUCACUCGUCGUUGAUCAUCUAUGGAUUCUGAGGGCAUGGGAACAUUCCCAUUCAUGAUAUACACAACAUUUUCAGUAUGAGUUUCACUUAGGCAUAGUUGGCGAAGAAGAUCAUGAAUUUUGCAAGUUUUCAUCCUUCCAUUAGCCGUUAAUCUAUCAAUCAAAAUUAGACUUCUAUCAAUUAGCUCUUGUAGAUAUUCCUCUGCCACAACUUCUAACCUUUUAUUGUUUCUUGCCUUUACGAAUUGCUCAGCAAUCCAGAGCCUAAUCAACUUGGAAACAUUAAUCUCUCUGUCUUCUGGAAAACCUCCAACAUAGAGAAAACAAGCCUUUAAAUAUUGGGGCAAGUAAUUGUAGCUCAGAGAAAGAAUUGAUUGGCACCGUUCGGACACCGUACCAAAGAAUGAGUUCAGAUUUUCCUCAACCUUCUCCCAAUUAUCAUGUGUUGGGUCCAUUUUUCCAAGAAGUCCAGCAACGACAACAACCGAGAGAGGUAACCCUUGACAUUGUUGUACAAUAUGCUUCCCUGUUUCUUCUAGCAGAGGAGGACAUGGAUCUUUUUUGAAUAUUUUCUCAGUGAAUAGAUUCCAACUAUCUUCUAGACUUAGAAAAGACUUACUAUGAGGCGGAAAAUCAGGGCAGUUGACAUAAUCAGCAACAUACUUGAGCCGAGUAGUUAAUAGAAUUCGGCUUUUAUUGUUAUCAUUUGGAAAUAUUCUUUGCAUUUGGUCCCAUGCCUCAGUACUCCAAAUAUCAUCUAUGACAAUUAGGAAUCUUCUACCCUUCAAACCUUUAUACACAAUCUCCAUUAGUUCAUCAUUGCUCAUUUCUUGAUUGCUUCCUGUAAUUGAAGAGGCAACUUCAAGAAGCAUUUGUCUCUGAUUGUAUUCUUCGGAGAUAGUGACCCAUGCAUGUAUAUCAAAUCGAGAACGAAUAGAUGAAUCAUCAUAAACUUUUCUGGCAAGAGUUGUCUUACCUAUACCGCCCAUACCAAAAAUUGGUAUGACAAUUAACUCAUCUGUUAGAAGCAUUUGUCUCUGAUUGUAUUCUUCGGAGAUAGUGACCCAUGCAUGUAUAUCAAAUCGAGAACGAAUAGAUGAAUCAUCAUAAACUUUUCUGGCAAGAGUUGUCUUACCUAUACCGCCCAUACCAAAAAUUGGUAUAACAAUUAACUCAUCUGUUUGGGCAGUGAGGCGAUCAAGUAUGGUGUUGAAGUCAUCUUCCAUCCCAACAGUAGUAUUUUCCUCAUGAAUUGUAACUUUUUUUGGUGAGAAGGAAGUUGUUGCUAAUUCUGUAGAUUUGCUUCCAUGCUUAUUAAACUCAACCACCAUCACCUCCUUCCUGAGAGAGUCAACAUCUUUUUCCACUUUUAGCAAUUCUUCCUUGAAGAAUUUACAAGCCCCUUCUCUACUCUCUGUGCAAUCAGUUAAAAUGAUGCUUCUUAGGCUUGAAUCAACUUUAUCUUCUGCUUUGUAUACUACAUUUUUUAUCCUCUUUUCUACAAGCUUGGAAUUGAAACUCGAUAAAUUAAUUACUAUUUAAAAAAUAUAUAUAAGAUCAGUAAGAUUUAGAUGAGUAUACUAGUGAAUUACAUACCUUAAGAGUUACAAUAUCCUUUGUGAUAGUUUUGUCAAGGAAAAGUUGCAGAGCAGAAAGAUUUUGAUAGAUAGAUUGAACUUGUUGUUGUGUAUAGCUUGGACAAACGAAAUAUUGAUUAGGUUUGAAGAGUUGUUCCAAUGUAUACAUAAGUGAAGAAAGAGCAGCAUAAGCCAUUUCUCUUUGUUUGCUGGAAUAACUAAAAGAUAAAGAGGCUUUGCAGAUUUAAACUCUACGCUAUGUUAUUCUUUUUUCUUAGGCUAAGAGAUUUUGUCCACAUAAUUUACUUUUCUUUAUCACACCACCUUUUUCUAAAUGGGGACAAAGACAUAGGAUACUCACCCUUUAAAAAAGUCAUAGUAUAAAUAUUUGUAAAUGAUUUAAAUAUAAUUACAAUAUGUAUAAAUAGUAAUUCAUAAAAUUAAGUAAUCAAAAGGGAAGGAGUGUAACACCAAAUUAUAGCUUAACAUCAAAUGGACAAUCUAACAAUCAUAGCAAAUAGUUUUAAGAAAUUGUAUCAUUUUGAUACGUAGAUUUCACAUGAGUUAUUAGUUGUGCAGAUGUCAUAUAAUGUUUGAAGAGAAUAUAUGAAAAUUUAUCAAUAUCCAUUACAUUAUUAUAGCAUCACAAUAAAUUAUACAAUUUCAGAUGUACAUUAUGUUCAUCCCACAAAUAUUCGAAAAUAAGAUGAAAUAGAGUAGACUAAAAACAAUAAAAUAGCUAAUGAAUUCUAAAACUUUUAAAUAACAAAAAUUAAAGAGAGAAACAAUUCCAGUUUAAAAGAAUGGAGGAACUUCCUCAAUAACUAACAAAAACAUAAACGAAUUUACCUCUUUUUUUUGCAUAUGUGAUGAGCAAUAACAUCCGUCAGCAAUCAUCCAUCAACAAUUAUACAUUAGAAUAACUAAGUGUAUGCAUUAACAUAAAGUGAAUGUGAUGAGCAAUAUAAUUACAUCCACCAAUAAUCAUCCAUCAACAAUUAUACAUCGGAAUAACAAAGUGUAUGCAUUAAUAUAAAGUGAUUUUGAAAACAACUUUUUGGUAUAUAUAAUUAUAAGUCAGGAAUUAUAAAAGUCAUUUAAAAAUUGAUGAUAUACAUAACAUCUAUGAGAAUUAGAUUGGUUAAAGUUGGGAUAUGUAAAGUUUCUGACUAAAAUCUAAAUAUGUGUGCCAUAUUAAGAUGUCGAGUAAUUCAAAGGACAUUUUGUUGUUUAAUGUUUAAGGAUAUUUUAGUUUUUAAAGGAUAUAAUUUACUGCUUUUUGUUGUUACGAAAUACUUCAUCUGCCAAACUCCAUUUUAGAAUUUUUGUGAAUUAAUUCUAUCUAGAAAUAUAAUGGAUUAAUACCACAUAAUUAUUAUUUAAUAUUAUAUUAAUUAUUUUAGGAAUAAUUUCAGAGACCUCCCCUCAGGUUUGGCUUCAUAACACUCACCUCACUUGUGAUUUACAAUAUUACACUUGCCUCCCUUUAUUUGAGUUUUUGGUAACAAUUCAUUUAACUUAUUAAUUAUUAAUUAUUAAUGUAAAAAAAUUAUGAUACGACUAAUUUACCCUUUUUAAUAUAUCCUAUUUUGUAAAAAAAGCUUUUUUCAAAAAAAAUUGUUAUUAAAUAAAAAAAUUCAUCUUUCAUUAAGAAUAUUUUUCAUCUUCCAAAAAUAAAAAUAAAAAAUUCAUCUUCCAUUAAUCCAUUCUGCUUAACUUGUUUUAGAGUUGAUGUCACCGAUUUGUUUGUCUAAUUUUACUGAAAAUGAAGAAUCAAAUGUUGAAACUUUAAAAAUGGAGUAUCUCAAUUUUCAUAUCGACUGGAAUGCAAACAAAUUAACAUACAUUUUGUUCUAAUUUUGAUCAUUUUCUUUUCCUGUUCAGUAAUUAAGUCAUAUUAGAAUAUUAUAUUUUUAUUGACACUAUUCUAAGUGUUUUACCGUCAAUUGCAUAAAUUAUAAAUUCAUUUAAACAAAAUGGUUUCAAUGGAAGAUGAAAAUAAAUCGAUUAUCAACGAAUUAAAAAAAAAAGAAUUUUGAAGAGGGCAAAUUAGUCAGAUUAUAAUUUUUAUAUUAAUAAUUAAUAAGUGAAAUGAAUUGUUACCAAAAACUCAAAAUAAGGGAGGUAAGUGUAACAUCGUAAACCACAAAGGAGGUGAAUGUUAUUGAGUCAAACCAGAGGGGAGGUCUUUGAAAUUAUCCCAUUAUUUUAUUAAUACUAAUAUUUAAAUUUAGUGAAGGGGUAAAACCGUAAUUCAACUUUGAAGUUAAGAUCUUCCCACUUAUAAUAAUACUAGUUCCUGGGAACGCGCGUUGCACGUUUGUCCCAUAUAUACAAUUAUUAUAAAGUUGAAUUAUUAUAUAGAAAAUGUUGAAACUAAAAACAUUAGUUUUACCAAUUUAUAUUUUAUUCAUUAAAUAAAAUUCCUAAUAAUCGAAUAGUACAUUGACCAUCAAGCAAGAAAUAUGGAAAACUAAUUAAGAUACUAUAGCCUCUAAUAAUAUGAAUAUAUCUAUAUGACUUAUCCCCAAUAAUCUCUCAUUACGCUCUCAUAUCAGUAAGUAAACAAAUAUGUUGCUACUUAAAGAAACCAUAUCAGUAAGGAAAGGAUAAAAGAAAGAAAAUAUUAUAAAAGUACAUUUAAAUCUACCUUAAUAAUUAAUGAUCCAAGUGCUUCACUACUUUAACUGUACAUAAAAUGGAUAACCUUUGGUAGGGAUUCUUCUCAUGAAAUAAAAAGAAUGAUUUAUAUAGAUAAAAGUAGAGGAAUAUCAAAGACAUCCUAAAGUUUUAAAUGAAAUAUUUAAAAGUUAGGAAUAUUAAGAGUACCAAUUGAAUAGGUAAUUAUAUUAGUUAUGAAUUAUGAAGGUGGAUAUUUAAAGCAAAAGAAGAAGAAGAAAAAUAAUAAAUAAGUAAAUAAAAGAGAGAAAAACAUUACGGCAAAUGAUAUUUAAAUAAAUAGUGUUAUCAUAUUAUUUAUAGUGAACAAAAACUAACCACAUCAUAAUAAUAAGACUUCAAAUAUAAUUCUUUGAUUUUUCCUAUACAUGAAAGUAUUAAUUACUUUUAUGAACUGCAUAAAAUACAAAAUGCACAUAAAUUUUCAUAAAGUCAAAUACUACCACAUUAAUUAAGUUAUUUAAAUUAUUUUAGAGAAGGGGAAAAGGUUUAGUUAGAGUAUCAUAUACAAGUUUUCACGUACUAAAUAAAUGCACAUACUUUUAUGGAUAUUUUAAUCUUUUAAUUUUUUUUAUUUUACACAUUUUCACUUGUAGUAUUUAUCAUCAUAAUACUAAUAUAGUAAUGUGAUUAUUAUUUAAUAUUUAAUUAGUUAAAUAUUUUGAAUUAAGAUAGGGGUAAUUAAAUGAUGAUUCAACUUUAGACUUAUUCUUUAUAUAUAUAUAUAAUGAAUGGUACAUAGCAAAUAAAUUUUAAAAUAAUUGAAAAUCCAAAAAGAGCAAGAAAAAGUUAAAUGAUUCUCUUGACCACAUAGUUAUGCCCGUCACUUGGACUUCCUGAAUACUAUUAAUUUACAGUUUAUAUUUAUUACCGAAAAUUUUACAAAUCUAAAAUACUAAAAAGAAAUUCUAAAGGUUGAAUAAUUGUGGAAUAUGAAAGUAAUUCCACCACAUUGAAUUGAAUGAACUAAUGAGUGAGAAUGUAUCUGUUUUCUUGUUUCAUUUUAAUGAAAUAUAUUAUUAAUAGAUAGGUAAAUUUACUUUUUAAUACCAAUAAUUAAAGGAUUAGUGUUUAAUUAAAUACUUAAAUGACUAUUCAACCUAUAAAGGAUAAUUUGAUAAUUCAACUUUUAACUUUUUUUUGUUCCCACUUUUAGUAUAUAUAUAUACUCCAUACAGUUAAUGUGACAAUAACCUGAAAAUAAAUUUAGCUUAUCAAUUAAAAAUUAAAAUGACAUAGAAAAAGAGAAGUAAACACAAGAAUGAGAAAAAUAUGACAAAAUAAGAGUAUAAUAAUUGUUCCACAAAAAUUCUGAUAUUUAUAAACAGUUGGAAAAAAAAAGCCAUCUAAAAUGGUAAAGAUAAAUCUAUGAUACAAAAUAUCGUUCUAAUUAGGAUCAAAACAAAUAUUAAUAUUUCAAAAUUAAAAGAAAGUACCUGAAAAUUGCCUAAUGAUUCGCAUCAACAGGAGGCAAUUGGUAAAGAAAAAUUACUUUUCCAUGAUAUAUAUAUAUAGCUAAAGAUUUAUAGGAUAAGAUGAAAAGGUGAAGAGUUGUUUAGUUAAUUUUCAGAAGUUAGUGAUCUUAGACAUGGGGGAGAGGAAAGGUUGAUUGUUUUUACUAAUAAUUCAAUACAUUUAAUUACACUAAUUAUAGAGAAAGGAUAAGAAAUUUAAUUCAUUUAACCACACUAAUUAUAGAAAAAGAAUAAAGGAUAAAAGCUUUAAUUAUCUUUUCUUUUUUUUAUAAAAACGCUUUAUCUAAUCAACAAAUUUAAUCCAUUUAAACAUAACCUUUUUUAAAAGAAUUAGAUAAAAGCGUUUUUAUAUAUAUAAAAAAUAAGCAAUUCCUAACAACUUUCUAUGAAAUAAUUUCUAACAAUUUUCUAUGAAAUAUUUUUGUCUUUCAAAGUUUGACUUUACACCUUCUUAUUUUUAGUAUUUAGUAUAAUAUAAUAUAAUUAUUACUUAGUAUUUAAAUAAUUAGAUAUUUAAUGAUAUUUUAAUUUAGUGUGAGGGUAAUAUGGUAAUUCAACUUUGUAUAGUGGAGCUUCCCACUUAUAAUAAUAUAUGAUAUGAUGAUUAAGAAAUCUUUCAAAAUAUCAAAUAAACCAAUAAGGAUUCUUAUUAACAUUUCAAAAAAGUUUUAAAAACCACACUUAUCCUUUUGGACUACUGUUGCUUUGUUUUUGGGCUCUGACCCAUUCCGGUUGUUUUUGCCAUUGGACUCUUUCCAUCUUCUGCAGAAGUUGUAUUUUCAUUAUAUUUGUUGAUCUUUGUCGUAUAAGAUUGUUUCUUUUUCAACUUCUUGGAUGUAAGGUUUAUCAAGAGAGUAUUCUCGGAUUUGGUGAAGAAAUGCCCAAAAAUAGUCCGAUUCAUAUUCGUCAAGUUUGGAAUGACAAUCUCUGAUGAAAAUGGGAAUUUACCCAAGUGUGUAACUGAUAAAUAUUGCAUAUGACAAUUCGAUUCAGUUAUUUCAAAUCUGAACGAUCAUGUUUAUGCUAACGACUCAAUUGUGUAGGAUUGCAACCACCCAUCUCCACUAACUUCUCAAGAGCAACGUUUCAGAUUACAACUCCGCAAUCUUAGGAGUUGAAGUUUAGGGUACAGAGAGAUGACAAAAAAUAAUAGCCAAGAAUGACAAAGGCUUGUGUGAAUAGCAAGGGCAUCAACGUGUACAUGACUCAAUUAUAUUUACAAUAAUAUCCUUGACAUAAGGACUAACUCUAGUAUCUCAACUUCACAGUUCACUCAAACUGUUCUAACUACUCUCCAACAAGUCAAACUCGCUUCUUGUUACAAACCUCACCCACACAAUUACACUCUUUAAUUUAGAAAUUAUUACAACUCAAUAAUAACCCUAGAACAACUCAAUAAAGAUAUAUUAAAGCUGCAGCUAGGUAAAAACUAAUUGAAAAACUCAAAGCCAGUGCACUGCACUUUGCAUGGAGGGAUCUUUUCCAAACUCCAUUAGAGCUGUUAAAAGCAUCGAAGCUCUACAAGAUACCUCAGUCACGCGCCCAACAAGUGGUACCUUCACUGUCUCCCUAUUCUGUAAAGGUUUAUAAUCCCAGCUGCAAACAUUGUUCGCAAAACAUUCAAAAACAGGAAUAAACUAUACAAUCAAACACUAUAUUAUGUAUAUAUUAGAAUUAAGAAUUGACUAAGAAUCAAAGAUGGAAAUGAACAUACCAUAGGAGUAAUUUGAACUUGAAGCUCAUAAUUUCCAAAGCUUUGUUGCUCUUUUCGAAUUCUCUUUGCACUAUUCUCUACAGCAGAGCUGCAAUCAACUAUUUGGAUCAAUUUUAGUGUCAUUAUAUCUCCAAUACUCUCGGGAAUCUCCUCCAGUUCAAACAACCAAUUCAGUAUUAGUUUCUCAAGCAUAGGAAAAUUAUCACUACCAGCUGCUUCCCACCUUUGCAGAUCUUUGGACCUAAUUAGUAGAUGUUUUAAUUUGCGAAACACAACAUCUUCAUUAAGUGUCCAAUCUGUUCCAGAAAAUGCAUAAUACCCCUUUAGCACCUCAAGAUUGGGUAAAUUAGACAGCAAAUUCAUAACUUCCCAUGGUAUUUUAGUAUUUGAUAAUGUCAACUUCUUGAGAUUAGGAGGGAAAACAUCCCCAGAGAAAAUCAACGGGUCAAUGGAGUUCACCUCUAUCUUUAGUGUCUCCAGCUCCUCUAGAAGAAUUAGAGAAUCAGGAAUAGAAGGAUAGUCAGAAAUUUCGCACAUCUUUAGCUUUUUUAGAUUGGGAGUUCUUCUUAUGAUUUCCUUAGAAAAAGGAGAGAACUGGAGAGUAAGUGUGUGCAAGUUAUUGAGAAACAAAGGUUGUUCUCCAACACUAUUAUUUUCUCCCUCAAGAGGAUUUGAAAUGUAUAGUGGCCAUUCAAUAUCCAAAUGUCUUAUCUCUGUCAUUCUCCAGAUAUCUAAUGGGUGGACCAACUCUGUCUGUUCAAAACCUACAAAAAUUAUGAUCUGUAGAUUUCUCGAUUUGGCUAGUGAAAGACCUCCCUCAAUUCUUGCAGCAACAUAUCUCAAAUGUACAAGCUCAGGUAUUACACUAGAGAAAUCGUACCAAACUGAUAAUACGUCCAACACCUUAAGCAACUUGAACUGUGAAACAAUAGAGCAAAUCACAUCUGGAGAAUCUAAAUCAAGAGAUUGCAUUGAAAUAAAGGUACGAGUUAUACUUGUUAUAUCAUUGAUAUAAACUUGCUUCUCUUCAUGUUUACGCAGAUCAAUCACUCGCCGCUGAUCAUGUAUGACUUCUAAUAAGGACACGAGAACAUUCCCAUUCAUGUAAUACACAAUAUUUUCAGUAUGAACUUCACUUAGGCAUAGUUGGCGAAAAAGAUCGUGAAUUUUGCAAGUUUCUAUCCUUCCAUUAGCCCUUUGUUUACCAGUCAAAAUUAGACUUCUAUCAAUUAACUCUUCUAGAUACUCCUCUGCCACUACUUCUAACCUUUUAUUGUUUCUUGCCUUUACAAAUUGCUCAGCAAUCCAUAGCCUAAUCAACUUGGAAACAUUAAUCUCUCUGUCUUCUGGAAAACCUCCAACAUAGAGAAAACAGGCCUUUAAAUAUUGGGGCAAGUAAUUGUAGCUCAGAGAAAGAAUUGAUUGGCACCGUUCGGACACCGUACCAAAGAAUGAGUUCAGAUUUUCCUCAACCUUCUUCCAAUUAUCAUGUGUUGGGUCCAUUUUUCCAAGAAGUCCAGCAACGACAACAACCGAGAGAGGUAACCCUUGACAUUGUUGUACAAUAUGCUUCCCUGUUUCUUCUAGCAGAGGAGGACAUGGAUCUUUUUUGAAUAUUUUCUCAGUGAAUAGAUUCCAACUAUCCUCUAGACUUAGAAAAGACUUACUAUGAGGCGGAAAAUCAGGGCAGUUGACAUUAAUCAGCAACAUACUUGAGCCGAGUUAGUUAAUUAGAAUUCGGCUUUUAUUGUCAUCAUUUGGAAAUAUUCUUUGCAUUUGGUCCCAUGCCUCAGUACUCCAAAUAUCAUCUAUGACAAUUAGAAAUCUCCUUCCCUUCAGACCUCUAUACACAAUCUCCAUUAGUUGAUCAUCGCUCAUUUCUUGAUUGCUUCCGGUAAUUGCAUAGGCAACUUCAAGAAGCAUUUGUCUCUGAUUGAAUUUUUCGGAGAUGGUGACCCAUGCAUAUUUAUCAAAUCGAGAACGAAUAUAUGAAUCAUUAUAAGCUUUUCUAGCAAGAGUUGUCUUACCGAUACCGCCCAUACCAAAAAUUGGUAUAACAGUUAACUCGUCUAUUUGGGAAGUGAGGCGAUCAAGUAUGAUGUUGAAGUCAUCCUCCAUCCCAACAAUAGUAUUUUCCUCAAUUGUCCUUUUUUCUGGUGAGGAGGGAGUUGUUGCUAAUUCUGCAGAUUUGCUUCCCUGCUCGUUAGACUCGAUCUGCACCACCUCUUUCCUGAGAGAAUCAACAUCUUUUUCCACUUUUACCAAUUCUUCCUCAAAGAAUUUACAAGUCUCUUCUCUCAUCUCUGUGAGAUCUGCUAGCAGAGUGAUGAUAUAUCUUAGGCUUGAAUCAACUUUCUCUUCUGCUUCGUAUACUACAUUUCUGAUCCUCUUUUCUACAACCUUGAAAUUGAAACUCGAUAAAUAAGUUAUUGUUAAAAAAUAUAUAUAUAAGAUCAGUAAGAUUUUGAUAACUAUAUAUACUAGUGAAUUAAUUACAUACCUUAAGAGUUUCAAUAUCCUUUGUGGUAGUAUUGUCAAGGAAAAGUUGCAGAGCAGAAAGAUUUUGAUAGAGAGAUUGAACAUGUUGUUGUGUAUAGCUUGGACAAACGAAAUAUUGAUUAGGUUUGAAGAGUUGUUCCAAUGUAUACAUAAGUGAAGAAAGAGCAGCAUAAGCCAUUUCUCUAAAAGAUAAGAGCCUCGCAGAUUUAAUGUCUCUGCCUGAGAUAAUUUACAUGAAUUUGGACAAUUUUCUAUUUAACAUCUACAUCACAACCACACAACUUGUGGUUCAUGGAUGCAAAACUGUGGAUUGACUAAGUCAAAGUGAGAUAAAAAAAAAAUGAAAGAUAAAGACAUAAUAACAUGUCAAGUUGUAUUAAUAUAAUAUACUUCUAAUGAAAAAUAAAGGAUCUCUUGGAGUUUUCCUAAAGAAUUUUCAAACAUCAGUCGUUCAGAUUUCUGAUUCAUAUACAUUGGAUUCCAACUUGUCAGAGACAUUGAACCCUGUUGUAAAAUAGAAUAAUUUACAUUGAAUAAUGAAGACAUCAUGUGUCAAGUUGGACGAAUAUAAUAAACUCUCAGUACAAAUUUUCCUUGAAAUUUAUAGGCAUAAUACAUAAAUAUGACAUUUAACUUAACCUCAUUUUAUAUUUAUGCCCUCCAACUUUGAAUGUGCACAAGUAGACACUUGAAUUUGUAUAAAAUUGAACAAAUAGACACACACGUCCUACGUGGCAUUCUACAUGUCAAUUUGUGUCCUAUGUGUAUUAUGCUACAUAGGACUCAUAUGUCUACUUGUUCAACUUUAUACAAGUUUAAGUGUCUACUUGUGCACACAAAAGUUGAAGGGUCUAAAUGUGAAAUGAGGCCAAGUUAAAAGGGACAUUUAUGUAUUAUGCCAAAUUUAUAUUAUCAUAAAAUGUCAUGAUGUAUUGAGCUACUUAAAUUAAUAAUACCGUCUAGAAUUGCGUACAAAAAAAACACAUAGAAUGAAGAUUAACCACCCCACAGUCUUACUUGAAACAACAAACCAACUCUUAUCCAAAGGGUUGAGAUAGGCCUAAACCAUUAGAAACACAUUUUUCCCCAACCAAACUAAAGCUAAAUAAAAGCACAGAUAGAUGAUUGGAAGAAAAGAACAAAGGGUUCAAAAAUGCUUUUAAAAUUUAUUGGCCAAACACUAAUUGUUUCUUACCAAAAGUGUUUUCUUUAAGAAAAAUAAUUUUCAUAAUAAGCUAAUUUUAAAAGUUUCGACAAAAUAAAUCCUUCUCUAAUACAUAUAAUUGGUAACUUAAUUAAUUAUGACAUGGUAAGUUUUACUUCCAUUAACCAUAAUUUCUCAAUUUUACUAUUAUAAAAAAAAAGGUAAAUUGACUAUUUUAUUCACUUACUAUUCGAUGGAAAACUCAAGUGUAUCUUUCCGCUGUGCUAUUUUUCUCAUUGCUUGCAUUUGUGGUAUGUACGCAUCUACUAUUACAUUAUAUUAUUAAGUAUAAAUUAUACCUACAACUUAAAUAAAAUUAUCAAUAAAGUUAAUGUUAUUAGGGUCGUGCUAUCGAUAACUAGUUUACAUAUACAAACACUAGUGGCAAAAAACUCCAUGUUUCGCAUGGUCCCAAUAUUUAUUCAUGAAGUAAUAUAUAUAUAUAUAUAAAAGAGAAUCUUAGGCCAGUCUACGUGGUCCACCACAAACCAGAAUUCUCUUCAUGUUUACGCCGACCAAUCACUCGCCGCUGAUCAUGUAUGACUUCUAAUAAGGACACGAGAACAUUCCCAUUCAUGUAAUACACAAUAUUUUCAGUAUGAACUUCACUUAGGCAUAGUUGACGAAGAAGAUCGUGAAUUUUGCAAGUUUCUAUCCUUCCAUUAGCUCUUUAUUUACCAGUCAAAAUUAGACUUCUAUCAAUUAACUCUUGUAGAUACUCCUCUGCCACAACUUCUAACCUUUUAUUUUUCUUGCCUUAACGAAUUUCUCAGCAAUCCUUAGCCUAAUCAACUUGGAAACAUUAAUCUCUCUGUCUUCUGGAGAACCUCCAACAUAGAGAAAACAAGCCUUCAAAUAUUGGGUCAAAUAAUUGUAGCGAAUUGAUUGACACCGUUCAGAUACGGUACCAAAGAAUGAGUUCAGACAAAAUAAAUGGAGCCCACAGUGGACAAUGAAAUAUACUUUAACGGAAAACAAAGCUGCAAUAAUCUGAACCAAUGAGAAAAAAGAAAUCAGCUCAAACGACUCAACUACCCUCAACAGGCAAGCAAGGUAUGUUGACCUGUUGCCUGCUUAAGCUGGUGAAACUCCCUUUUAUAAUUACUAUAUACUAGACAGAGGUGGCCCGUACUUGUUGAAAGAUAUUUGUGAGCUAAAUGCACACAUACAGAGACAGUCUCACACACACACAUAUUUCUGUAUUUAUAUACAUAGAUGUUAUAUAUAUAGUUGACAAUUGUUUGUGGCUGCGUUAUUUACAUAUUGCACUAUUUACGUAGUGCUGCAUCUUCCCUGCUUUCCUGCAGUUUUAAGUCAGAGCUUAAGAAGAAGUACCUGCGCAAGAAGAGAGAAAAUGAAUUUAAGUUCAACGUUGGAAUAUUUAGUUAUACAUGUAUAUCUAUGUAUGCAUUUUUAUGUUAUGAUUUUAGCCAUUUUGACGACCUUAUAAUCUUCUCCUGUUUGAUAAGAGUUGCAUUUGUGAACAAUAAUAUAAUCAAAUUGUAGCAGGUAUAGUGUAGUGGUAAAAGUGUGAUUGUGAAGUAAAUAAAUCAGUGUGAAGUAUAUAUAUAUAAGGAUAUCUACGACACUGUAAAGAGCACAAACCUAAAGCCAACCACUAAAGCAGUGGCUUUAGGUACCAAAUAAAUUAGGGCGUCAAAAUUAGAAAUUUCCGUGGCUCCGAAAGAAGCAAAAACUCCAAGUUCAGUUGAAACAGACAAUACGAACAUAUAUAUCCAAAAACAUAGAUUUGAUUAAACGAAAAACACAACUCGAGAUCUAACCAAAAGCAGAGCAAGCACAGAGUAAAACACAUAAACAGUAAACCCAAAAGAUGAAGGAGAUACAUACAUACGUUACAUGAGAUAUUAUCUGGUGACAAGAUGUGAUAUUAUUGACGCCACCUUUAGACUUUAAAACUAACAUUACUAUAUGAUAAUGAACUAUUAGUAACCUUAACUCAAUAAAAACUUAAGUCACAUCAAAUAUUUAUAUAAUAUCUAUAUUCAAUAGACAUGUCGUAGUGCUGCUGGGAUCAUCGCCAUAUUAGGCUGCCACAACAGUAAUUAAAAUUCCGAGACAUCCAUCUAACAUAGCAGUUGAGACAUGAAAAAUGUAAUCCUUAAAUCUUAAAAGCUUCAAAAGAAGGAAGAACCAAUGCAGAACCUAGCUAAGACUGAACAGCAGAAAAAGGGUGAACCACAGAGGGGUUCAUGGGCCGUGAACAGGACCACAACCCGUCACCCUCGUCGUGUUUCACAUACAGCAGGGCACGGAGGUCCACUAGCCCCUACACUGACCGUGGAACCCCACACGGUCCAUCAAUAUGCUCGUGAAAGCAUGCCAGAGACCCCUGUCACGCCCCGAGGCUAUCCCCUUGACGUAAACAUGGGACCUAGGAUCAGGAGUGACCCCAGGCUAACCCUGAAGCUGACAUAUCAUAAGCAUACUAAAACAACUGAAUAAAAAGAUACUAUGCUGAAGCCAAAACAAGAGAUAACUGAAAGAUGGGGAAUACCCAAAACUGAUCUGAAUAAAUAAAAUGUACUAUGAGUUUCGUGAUCCUAAACAAUCACUCUAAGCUAAAGUUGAAUCGACAUGCCCCCAGCUAACUCUAGCAAAACUGAAAACUGAAAUGAAAGACUAAAUGUGAAAAAAACAUGUCUAUUGUCCUCGAAGUAUGAGGACUCACCACUGAAGCUGCUGAAUGCGGACCGAUAAUCGAUCUAAGCGUGAUCUGGAUGCUGAGUACUGUUGACACCCAAUUUUGACCCUCCCCGAUAGGAAUAAAUUUUUAAGCUUAUUUAAUUUCAAAUAAUUUGAAAUAAUUAGCUUUGCGAGGUUCAAAUAUUUUUUCAAGUUACUUUUAAGAAUUUUAGUUACUUUUCAUAAUAUUUUAAAUAUUUCAAAUAAUAAAUAUAUGUAUAUUUUAUAUAUAAUUAGUAUAUUUUAUAAACAAAAAUCACCUCAAGAUGUUACAUUUUUAGAUAAGUACUUUAUUAAUUUAGUUUAAAUCAUAUUUGCCAUUUCGAAUAUUAGUUCGUAUUUUAAAUUAAUUACCUUAUAAUCGAAUUAAUUAUUUUAUUUCGUUAGGAUUAAGAAGCUCAUUAAUUGAUUUAUACUAAUUCAUCUUUUAUUUAUUUUAGCCUAAUCACCAACUAAACUAAUUUGUCUAGAUUUUUAAUUCCAAUUGGCUACGAUUGAAAUUCAUACGGUCAUUUUUCUAAAUUACAAUUUUAGUGAUCCUUCAACUAAAUUGCAAGACCAAGAAUUUGGGCCUUUCCUUCAAAUUUUCAGCAUCCUAAUCUUGCCAACCCAGGCCCAUUUCUUCCCAAAGAAACCAAUUUCAGCAAUUCCAACUUUCCUCAACCCCAGCCCAAACCUUGUUCUCAAAGAAGACCCAUGCGUCUCUUUCAACGUUUAGAAGCAGCUUGCAAGCGCUAGCAACAAUUUCAGACGCGUACAACUCAACCUCCGACCCCGUACGCGUCUUCUUCUCCCUCACGCGUCAACAACAGCACCUCCAUCAACAAGUUCACGGCGUGAACUCGAGGACAUCAACAAAUACACAGCGAUUCCAAACGGAAAGCAAAGCGCGUCAAUUCAAGCGGCGUCAAAUAGACGGAAGGCAAAAUUCUAACGUCUCCAAAGACAGAGGACGCGUCUCCUUCCUCAAGCUAGUACGAUCUUAUACAACUUUUCCUCGAUUCCAGCUGCUGUUUCGUCCUCGCCAGCACGAGAUAAGGCCACGUCGCCCAAGGACAAUCGAAUCGAUCAAGAGCGUCCAUCUCCUCUUUCCUCUUCUGGAAUUGGGCGAAAUUUCAGAAAAAAGGUGUCUCAAGGUUUCUGGAGUUUGAAUUUCGAAAUGGGCCCAAUUCCUAUCCAAAUUUCAUCAGUUUCCCCCAAAAUUCCGAACCCUACUUUUCCUCUAUAUAAACCCCCUCUUUUUCUUUGUUAGGGGUUGGAUUUUUUUUUAGCAAUAGAACAGAGAACAACUUAAGCAAAAAAGACAUACUAAAUACAUUUCAAGAAACCAGAGGAGAUAGUCAGUUUCAGUGUUCGGGUCCAACGUUCUGCUUGGAUUUCUUGGUUAUUGCUCGAGUCGGAACGUGCGUGGUGAAGUCGUGGUUUCCUUGCUCAUUUUCGUCUCCGUUCACUGCACUUUGAAAGGUAAUACUCAUUUUUCGUUUCAAGCAUUUUGCUUUUAACGUGUUGUUGCUUGAUUCUUGAUUGUGAAGAUGUUUACAUGUUAGCAUUUGGGAAUGUUUCUGACUCAUUGUUGGCUGCGAAUCAGUGAUAAAGUUUGUUCAAUAGUCCUUUGCUGUUUGUUCGUUCUUCGUUUUCAAAAUGGUUUUAAUACUCGUUUGAGUUUAUACUGCUGUCUGUGUUCUUCCUGCAUUCAUGGCCAUCAUGCUUGCCGUUUAAUGUUUAGCCUUCCUUUAUGGGUUUGUUUUGGUUCGUCCUGUUUGUUGUUGAUAGUAUGGAGUUAGUUCUAGGUUAGGAUUCAUGUUUGGUUUAACAUAGUUUUACCCUCGUCUUGAACAGUGAUAAGUAUUCCAGUUUUAGUUUUCAUCAUCGUGUAACAUGAAAUUAUCUAUUGUAAGCAUAACCGGUUGGUAGCUCACCCAUUUAUUUGGUGUUAUUAAUGAACCAUGUCAGCCUCUUUGAAUAUGGUGUUGGUCUCUACCUAUAUGUACUUAUAAGCAUGAUAAGUUGAGUAAAGAUGUUUGCCUUGUUUAGUUGUUUGAAUAUAAUAAUGGCUUUCUUCAAAAACUGCUUUGGCCUGCUUCUUUUGUUUUAUGUAUAGCGUUCUGUCCAUUAGCAUGAUAAAAUAGCAUUAUUAGGCUUCAUUUAGUAGAGUUAUUUUGAUCAUAGUAUGAGGUGUGUUACUUGUUGAUUUUGUAGCAUGGCUUUUCUGUUGACAUUUGGAAAUACUGUUGAUUAUCGACUAGGUAUAUAUUUGUUCUUGUUUUCCCCCCCUUUUGUACGUCCCCUUAGAUUUUAUUGCUCAUAGGUAUAUGCAGGUUAUUGAUAAGUAUUCUAGCAUUGUUUGUCAAUUUUUGUCAUUUAUCAAGUUAAUUUAGUUUUGUCUUCCUCAAAGUCACCGGUUACGUUUGAGUUCAAUACUUGGGUUGGUUUUUCUUGGUUUUCGAUUUGCUUGGUUGAUUUUUCAUUUCAAUUGAUCUGUGUUUUGUUUAAGUCAUGUCUCAUUUGUUUUAUCAUUUCGAAUGCUAAUUCUUGUCUUUUUGUUUUGUUGUAUGAACCCUCUCCGAGUCCAUGAUGGAUUUUCCUUCCUUUGCAUUCCCGAAUCGAGCCAUAAAGGGUCAAUCUCUUUUCGUCAUCGAGUCAGCCAAUAUAGGGUAUACAGGGAAGAAAUGCGAAAAUACAGGAGGCUGGAAGUUGGAUUUUUGGUGUCCAAAAAUCCCAAAAGAGACUGAUAUACCUGCUGUAUACAUUGGUAUAUAGUCGGAAAAUAUUAUAUACAGGUCAAAACGUCAGAAUACAGGUGGAAAAUGCAGAAAUACAGAAUUUAAAUAAAAUUACAGGUCCGGGAGUUCGAGAAUUAGUGGUAUACAUGGUGUAUACAUCAAAUAUACACCUGGUGUAUAUCAUGACUAAUUAGAAUGAAAGGGGCAAAAAGCCCAAGGAAUUUUUCAGCAGGUCCAGCAGGUGUAAAAAUGGGCAAGAUCAUUUUUAGAUUUAGGACAAGGAAAUUGAUCUGGGCCUAUCAGAUUUGAGGAUUUGGGCAAAUUGGCCAAGUUCAAUUUUCUCUCCUUUCUCCUCUUUAUUUAUUUGUUAUUGUAUUGACUAGCAUUUUGAUCUAACUUAAUUAAUUCCCAAAAGAUAAGUCAUUUCUCUUUUUAUGUCCAAUAUAUAUAUAUAUAUAUAUAUAUAUAUUACUUAGCUUUAUUUUUAUUAUCAGUCUUGUCAACACUUGAAUUAUUUCCCUUAGAAAAUUUCCCUUUAGUUUAUUUCCCUUAAAUAAAAAAUGAGUUUUAUUUCUUAAUAAAAGUCUUAAAAGUUAGUUGAAAGCCAUUUUAGUCAAAUCGCUGGUCAACCACAAGUUAACGGAUAUUUCGAAGGCCUAAUACCUUUUCGGAAUGUACAUUGAACUUGAACCCUUUUAUUUUCAAUUGAUUUUGUCUGUUUAAAUCCUUUCAAAUAACUUUGAAUUUUUCUUGAUUUUUACUGAAAAUCUGAGUGGCGACUCUGUUUCUUUUGGAAAUUCAAUUUCUCUUCAAACCAUAUGUUUAGUCGAUUUUUUGAAAUAAGUCAUUUUUCUUUUAUUUUUUUCAAGUAAAACAAGUACCUGAACCUACAUCAUGAAAGGAUGUAGCAGAGUAUGCGUCAGUACUUGGAAUGUACUGAGCAUGCAAGAUAUAGAAUAUAGUUGAACAAACAUAUAAACUGAACAAAACGUAACUGAGUAAUGAUAUAAAUGAAUAUGAAUGUAAAUACUGCAAUAUACUGAAAGCUGAACUAUAUGCAAUGACCUAGUACUAAAUCCUGAAUAUGACGUGCUCACUGAAUACCAAAGUAUAGACUGAAAACCUGGUCAAAAUGCACUAAAGUCUGACUGUGGGGAACUACUAUUAACCGACAUAAACCACGUGAGCUAAACAUGGAGUCCGAUGUAUAUGCUCCAUCGAGAGGACCCAAUAUACCUUGCCAGGGGUAUAAAGGCAUGACUGGCGUGAUCACUAAAUCUGAUGCCCACAGAGGAGACUUAUAAACCUACGAGGGCAUGUAGUUCUGGGACUAAGAGGGUAACUAAACCCUAGUCCAACUCGGUGUUAAGCCUACUCCCAACUGGAAAUGUGUACAAUACAAUAUAACUGAAAUAUACUGGAUAGCUCAAUAUUCUGACAUGCAAAUCUGAGAAUGCAACAUUUAAGACUGACAAUGUAAUAUUCAAAAACUGAAGUAUGUUUAUCUAUUUAACUGACCUAGCAAGUGUAAUUCAUGAACUAAGAGAAUCUACACAACUAGGGUUCUGAGUUUCAUGCAAGAACUAAGCAACAAUGUCACGAAAACAUGAUAAUCUGAUUGAGAACACUAUAACAACUAAAUCACAACAAUUAACUAAAGUUCUAGAAACCCUAGGUCUAAACAAGAUAUAGAUAAUCAAGAAUCUGAUUGAAUUCUAAGGACCUAGUGGCUAAAAGGAACCCACUAGUGAAAUCCCACAUACUUGGUGACGAAAUCUACGGAGAAAUCCUUCGAUUUCAAGGCUGAAAGUGAAGAAAACCUGCUACGUGUUCUUGAGGGGUUGGUCGGCUCUUUCUCCUUUUUUUCGCUCUAAGUUCUGGUGAAUUUUGGUGAAUAAAGGUUUUGGUUAUGUUUUGACUAGGUUAUUAGGCUUAAACUGAGUAAAAUGACGUAGUUAAAGCAUCAAACGACGUAGUUUAAGUUCCCAAUGCAUAAGGGAAAGGACCAAAAUGACCUUGAUUUAAUUCUGACGAAGCCCAUCCACAGAGGGAAUGACGGUCCGUCUUUUGGACUACGAUCGACGUUUGGGUUCGUCAUCACGGCUUCACUAAAACGAGCAUAACGUUUUACUCGGAGAUGUGAUUUUAGCAAACUCAGUAGCGUUGGAAAGAGGAUUCAAUUAUCUUUAAUUUGAUAGGUCAUAGGCCACCUAAUUUCUUUUGUGCUAAAAGUUAUGACCGUUUGAAGUUGAUCCAUCCUCUAACUGACUACUGACCCUCACCUACGGAUCGUACUGGUCGACCGUGGGUGGGAUCAGAGACUAUAAAGAUUUGGGCCUUAACGAAGGAACCCCACCUACGGUUUGUGGUCUUACCUACGGUCCAUGGGUGGUUCCGUUAGUACCGGCACCAGAUUUUCUGAAAACUAGGAUUUUCUUCAUUUUGAUAUUCGAGGUGUUACACCCCCCAAGGAUAGUGAGGAACCAUGGACCACUAGACAGUCCGUGGAACCCCACACGGUCCGUAAAGUAUGUCGUGGAAAUGACUCAGUGCAACCCCAACUCAUGUGAAGAACCACGGUGGCCUACACGACUCGUGGUGCUUCACUCGGUCCGUGAAAUGGACCGUGAAUGGGGCAAUUCAGCCUUCAAGUUUUGGAUCAACUUAAAACGGUCAUAAAUUUUAGCACAAAAUGAAUUAGGUGGUCCAUAACCUAUCAAAUUAAAGAUAAUUGAAUACUCUUUCAAACGCCACCGAGUUUGCUAAAAUCCAAGCUUGGAGUAAAAAGCUAUGCUCGUUUUAGUGAAGCCCUGUGGGGCAGAGCAUCUUCACGAGCUGCUAGACGGGCCUUGGUCAUCAUGACGGCUCAUGAAGCCUGUCUUGAAGACACUUCGGCAGAAUUAUGCGUUGGGCACUUAAACUACGUUGUUUGAUGCCUAAACUACGUCGCUUUACUCAGUCUAAGCCUAAUAAUCUAGUCAGAACCUACCCCAAAACCUUCAUUCUUCUAAAAUCACCCAACUUAGAGAAGAGAAAGAAGUGACCAGCUUUAUCAAGAACAAGCAGAAGCAUGCUUCGAAGUUCAGCCCCAAAAUCCAAAGGAUUUCUCCGUAGAUUUCGUCACCGGGUAUGUGAAUUUCACUAGUGUUCCUUUCACCCAUUAGGUCCCUAGAAUUCAGAUAGUUCUUCAGAUUUUCAUAAACUGUUCAGACCCAAGGUUUUUAUAUUUUCAAAAUUUAUUGUGAUUAUGGUUCUGUUGAUCUAAAUAACUUGUUUCUUGAUAAUCUUAGUAUAAUUCCAUGCAUAGCACUCAUCAUGACUCUUCAGGUAGCUGGCAUUGGUCCCCUUUUUUCAUCAUUCCUGAAGUUUAUUAAAUCAUCAAAACUUUACAUCAACAACAAAAUAGCAAACAUCAAUUAAUGCAUUAGAAGGCUCAAUUAAUCAAAAUAAAUCAUAAUUGGAAGAAACCCACAUUCCUUGUAACUUAAGGCAUAACAUUGUAAAAUAUUACUCCAUAAAUUUCAAUAGUUAAAAAGGGUAUCAUCUAAUUAAGUCAAAAUAAGUGAAGCCCACAGAUGGCAAUGAAAUAUAUAGCACAAGGAAAACAAAGCUACACUGCAAUAAUAUGAACUUGUGAGAAAAAAGAAAUGAGCUCAAAUGACUCAACUACCCUCAGCAGGCAAGCAUGCAUGUUGACCCGCUCCCUUCAUCCCAUUGUAUAUGAGUUAGUUUGAUUUGACAUAAAGUUUAAAGAAAAAAAAAUGACUUUUGAAAUUUGUGGUCUAAAAUAAGUGAUACUCCCUCCAUUCCUAUUUAUAUGUCGUAUUUACUAAAAAUAAAUGAUCAUUAAUAUUUGUCAUUUCACAAAAUCAAUGCAUAAAACUAUUAUUUCUAUUUUACCUUUUGAAAGCUAUUAACCUUGAAAGUAUUUGUUUGCCUAAAGGAUUUUUUAAUUAACACCCCCCCCCCCUUUUGACCUUCUCUUUCAUCCGAACCGAACCUCUUCAAACUACAACCUGUUUAGAAAUCAGCCCAAUCGUACCUCCUCAAACUACAACCUGUGUUACACCCCGAAGCUACCCCCAAGAUGCGGACAUGGGACCUAGGAUCACAAGUGACCCCAACCUAACCUUGAGCUGACAUAUCAUAAGCAUACUAAUAUAAACUGGAAUAAGAAGUAUUAAGCGGAAGCAUAAGACAUGAGAUAAACUGAAAAUGAUGUGGAAUACUUAUUCUAAGUCUGAAUAUAAAUCAGAGAGUUUAAUAACAAAUGAAAUAUCAAAUUCCAAGCUAAAACUGAAUCUAACUAUGUUUGAAAUAAAGCCUCUAACUGACAAGAAAUGUUGGGACAUGACCCAGCUAGAUCUAGCAAAAACUGAAACUAAAGACUAAAAGUAGAAAGGAAACAUGUCUGUAAUCCUCGGAGAAUGAGGACUCACCACUGAUGCUGCUGAGCUGAAGAUCGGGAACCAAUCUAUGCGUGAUCUAGAAACUGAGGACCUGAACCUACAUCACGAGAAGAUGUAGCACAAAGUAUGCGUCAGUACUUGAAAGGUACUGAACAUGCAUGAUAGAAUAAAGUUGAACAAUAUACAUAACUGAUCAAAACAUAUAACUGAGCAAUGAUAUAAGAUGAGCAUGAUACUAUACUGAAAGUAUUGAACAUGAUCUAACUGAAUGCAAUGACCAAGUUUAUUACAUACUGAGACUGAAAUCUGACUGUAACUGAUAACAUGGUCAAUGCAAAGAAAUCUGACUGUGGGAGCUACUAAUAACCGACAUAAAACCACAUGAGCUAAAUGUGGAGUCUGAUGUAUACACCCCAUCGAGAGGACCCAAUAUACCCUACCAUAGGUAUAAAGGCAUGACUGGCGUGAUCACUAAAUUAAUGCCCACAGAGGGGACUUACAACCUACGGAUAGCUCGGUAUUAAGCUGUCACUACCCGAGAGCACCCCCCAAGUCGUAACAUGCGUAUUCGACCUCUCGGAGGUCUCAUACAAGCCCUUAGCAUUCAUCACAUUAGAUAUGUAAAAUAGUGCGGAAUUAAAAACUCUUUAAAUAAAAUCCCAUAAGACUUAAAGGUCACUUUUAAAAACAUCAUUCAAAAGUACACAAGCGGAAUACUAAGUCUCUUAGCCAUCUUAGACAUAAACGUGAAAACAUACUAGGGACACGGCCCUUUACAAUCAAAAGAAGUCUAUUAAGUCUAUUACAAGAACCUUAUCAUAAAACUAGAAUAGAAAANNNNNNNNNNNNNNNNNNNNNNNNNNNNNNNNNNNNNNNNNNNNNNNNNNNNNNNNNNNNNNNNNNNNNNNNNNNNNNNNNNNNNNNNNNNNNNNNNNNNNNNNNNNNNNNNNNNNNNNNNNNNNNNNNNNNNNNNNNNNNNNNNNNNNNNNNNNNNNNNNNNNNNNNNNNNNNNNNNNNNNNNNNNNNNNNNNNNNNNNNNNNNNNNNNNNNNNNNNNNNNNNNNNNNNNNNNNNNNNNNNNNNNNNNNNNNNNNNNNNNNNNNNNNNNNNNNNNNNNNNNNNNNNNNNNNNNNNNNNNNNNNNNNNNNNNNNNNNNNNNNNNNNNNNNNNNNNNNNNNNNNNNNNNNNNNNNNNNNNNNNNNNNNNNNNNNNNNNNNNNNNNNNNNNNNNNNNNNNNNNNNNNNNNNNNNNNNNNNNNNNNNNNNNNNNNNNNNNNNNNNNNNNNNNNNNNNNNNNNNNNNNNNNNNNNNNNNNNNNNNNNNNNNNNNNNNNNNNNNNNNNNNNNNNNNNNNNNNNNNNNNNNNNNNNNNNNNNNNNNNNNNNNNNNNNNNNNNNNNNNNNNNNNNNNNNNNNNNNNNNNNNNNNNNNNNNNNNNNNNNNNNNNNNNNNNNNNNNNNNNNNNNNNNNNNNNNNNNNNNNNNNNNNNNNNNNNNNNNNNNNNNNNNNNNNNNNNNNNNNNNNNNNNNNNNNNNNNNNNNNNNNNNNNNNNNNNNNNNNNNNNNNNNNNNNNNNNNNNNNNNNNNNNNNNNNNNNNNNNNNNNNNNNNNNNNNNNNNNNNNNNNNNNNNNNNNNNNNNNNNNNNNNNNNNNNNNNNNNNNNNNNNNNNNNNNNNNNNNNNNNNNNNNNNNNNNNNNNNNNNNNNNNNNNNNNNNNNNNNNNNNNNNNNNNNNNNNNNNNNNNNNNNNNNNNNNNNNNNNNNNNNNNNNNNNNNNNNNNNNNNNNNNNNNNNNNNNNNNNNNNNNNNNNNNNNNNNNNNNNNNNNNNNNNNNACAUUCGUGGACGAAUGUUCCCAAGGGGGAGAUAUUGAAAUGACCCAAAAAGUUCUUAAAAAUGUGCUUCGGAAGUUACCGGAAACUUGUUUAGCUAUAUAUAAAACAAUCAUUUCGUUUUUUUGAAAAUACGACUUCAUAUUCUUGUUUAGGGGGUCAAAUUGAGUGGAAAUGGGUCUAACCCAAAUUUUAGAGCAACCGUAUCAAAAUCCGAAAUUUCCAAGUGAAGCCUUUUUUCGAGGGUCUACUUUGGAGGGUCAUAUCUCCUAGCACACAAAUUAUUGGGUGGACAAUAACAUAUCCAUGGAAAGCCCUUUGAGUUAGCUACCUAACGCACUUCGUUUCACCUCAUUCGGAGUCCGGAUGAAAAAGUUAUGCCCAUUUUCGUAAAAUCUGUCCGGCAGGAAAGACAAUUUCCAGAGAGCGUUUUUACUGUUCACCCUCCUCAUUUUUUUUUCUAAGUGUUGGACCAUUUUUCCAAAGGGCAUAUGUUUAUUUCCUAUAUACCAUUAGUUCAAUUCUCAUCUCUAAAACAUUUUCCAAAACACCUCUCCCAUACUUAGACACAAGAACAAGAUAUAACACUUCCACCUAAGGUGGAUUCAACCUACCAACAACAAUCGUCACAUAUGGACAUUUAAAGAGAACUAUACUUUCAAUUACACUACAAUAACACUUUGUACAAGAUCACCUUAUAACCAUAAGAAUACCUUCACAUAUUUACCUUCACAUAGUACUAUAACACUUCAUAACUUGAUAACACUUUAAUUCAAUAGCUAGUGCCUUCAAGGCCAUAUUCAUAAUACAAUCCAUAAUUAAACACCUCCACCAUAAGUGGAUCAAACCAAGCAAGAACAAUUAUAUCAAUAAUAUGAGAUUAAGCCAACUUACCAUCCUCCAAAGCCAUCCUCAACAUUAAUCAAUAGAUAUAGAAAAUCAUAAACAUCAACAAUACAAUCUAUUCUAAGCAUAAAUUCAUCAAUACCCAAUCAUUAUCAACAAACCCAUUUCGUAAGUCAAAUAUAGAAAUUUGUGAAAUCAAGCGUUCAUGAGAUUUUUCACUUGAAAACAUCAAUUUAAUAUCAACAAUAUCACAAUCCAUCAUUUAAAACCACUUAAUGCAAGAACCCUUGAGUAGAGUAACAAAUAGAAGUUUUUCAUAACUUUUGAGAAUUGAAAACCCUUUGAAAUUGGUUCUAAAGCGAAAACUAGCUUUAGAUAAAGAGCCACCAUACCUUAGUAUUGAGAAAACCCACAAAAAUUUGAUGCAAGAAACCUUCAAUUCGAAACCCUAGCUCCAACUUGACCUUUGCCUUCAAUGGUGUUCUAGAGAGAACCCCCCCUUUUUUUUGAAGAAUGAAUUAAAACAAACCUUUUUAAAAGUUUUAAUACCAUAUAUAGAAAUUAGAAAUAAUCUAAAAUAUACCCACUUUUUAAUUUAACUAAAAUUAAUAUUUACGAAAAUGCCCCUUGCCUACAUGGACCUACCAAAUAAAACUAAGGCAAAGUCCAAUUUUCAUUUUGGAAAAUUUCAUAACUCCAAUUUAUGCUUAAACUUAAAAAAUUCAUACGUUAGGCUCUAGUUUCACCUAUCUAUUUUUAGGGUCGUUACAUAAGCUACUCCUAAUUGAUUAUGUAAUUAACAAUUUAUGACUGAAUUCUGUAAUACUGGAUAGCUCGCUUACUGACAUGCAAACUCUAAGAAUGCAAUAAUUAUAUCUGAUAAUAUGACAUUCGUAAACUGAAGCAUAUAUAUAACUAAAAUAACUGACCUAACAUGUAUAAUUCAUGAACUAAAAUAACUACAUAGCUAGGGUUCUAAAUUCAUAAAAGAAUCUACGCAAAAUAAUACUAAAAUCAUGAUGAUCUGAUUAGGAACAUUAAAGUAACUAUUUCAUAAUAAUCUACUAAAUUUCUAGAAACCCUAGGUGGUCUAGAUAAUUUGAAGGAAAUCAAGAAUAUGACUGAAUUCUAGGGACCCAAUGGGUGAAAGGAACCCACCAGUGAAAUCUCACAUACCUGAUGACAACUUUCACGAAGAAAUCUUUCGAUUUCAGGGCUGAAACUAAUGAAAACCUGUUGCGUUCUUGGAGAGGGGUUGGUCGACUCUUUCUUCUCUCUGCGUGCUAAGUUUUCUAAAUUUUGGUGAAUGAUUUGCUUAGGGUAGAUUCUAAUUAAGUUACUAGGCUAAAACUGACCAAAACCACGUAGUUUAAGGGUUAAACAAUGUAGUUUAGGGGUCCAAUGCAUAAUGAAAAGACCAAACGACCCCUGACUUAAAAACUGUCGGGAACUUCCCUGGACCAUAGACUGUGGCCUGACCUACUGUCCGUAGGUCCUCGCAUAUGUCUGGACUUAGAAUAAUUUUCUGGGCUUUUCUGGGGAGGGUUGCAGAUGGUGAACCACGAACCACCAGGACGGACCGUGGGUCACCCUACGGUCCGUAGGUGACAACCGUGGGUUGCACCUGCAACUUCUAAAAUUUGCAUUUUGGUAGUUUUACAAUACGGGGUGUUACAAUCUAAAUAGAAAUCAGCCCAACCUAACAAUUUUACAAUAUACAGUUCACAAGGCUUAACACUCACAGACCAAUAGUCACAGUUCAACAACCAAUAAGCUUCAAGUAUAUCAAUCACACAUAUCAAGUAGGUCAUUCACACAUAUCAAGUAGAUUAAUCACAAGUGUCUAGUAGAUCAAUCACAAGUAUCAAAAUUCAUCAAAUUAGAAUAAUCAAACUCUUGCCGAAACCAUUUCCCUUCGAUACAAUAUCACUAGACGGAACCAUUUCCCUUUGACUUUAUAUCAUAACAUUGUAAAAUAUUACUCCAUAAAUUUCAAUAGUUAAAAAGGUGGCAUGUAAGUCAAAAUAAGUGAAGCCCACAGUGGGCAAUGAAAUAUACUUUGAAGGUCUAAAAAACGUCUUUACAGUAGAAGGAAAACAAAGCUGCAAUAAUAUGAACCAAUGAAAAAAAAAAAUUAGCUCAAAAGACUCAACUACCCUCGGCAGGCAAGCAGGCAUGUUGACCUGUUGUUUGCAUGAGCUGGUGAAACUCCCUUUUAUAAUAAAGUACUAGAUUUUGUUGCCCGUGCUAUGCACGGGCCCAAUAACAUAAAUGGUAUGUUUUGGGGCUAAUAACGAAAUUUUUGAAGCGAUUGUUUGCGUGGAUAAAGGAAUAAGUUUUUUUAUCACAAACCUGUACUUUCUUUGACGCUAUUCAAGGCACAAUAAGACUACCCACAUACAACAUUUUUGAACAAUUUUAUGUUGUCAAUUAUCACGAUUUAAUUUUAAGAAUCAGUCAAUUUUUUUUUCUGUUUUUUUAAUAAAUAUUUUAAGUUGUCAAUUAUCACGAUUUAUUGUAUUUUAUACAUAAUUUUUAACGAUAGAUUAAUUUCAAGAAUCAAUCGAAUUUUUUUAAAUGUAUUUAUUUUUGAAAUAUUUUAUGUUGUCAAUUAUCAUGAUUUAUAGUAUUUUUACGCAAUUUUUAAAUAUAAAAAAUUUAAAAAAAAUAAGACAAAUAAAUUAAAAUGGACCCAAUAUAUGUUAUUUUUGUUGUCUCAAUUUAUGUGACACAAAUGAAAUUUGGAGAGUCAUUGAAUAUUAUAUAUUAUACUUGGGCAUAAACUCUCUUACGCACGGGCCCAAUAACUAUUAUUUUUUGUCCUAAUGUAUGUGACACAGAUAAAAUAUAGUGAGUUAUUUAAAUUUAAUAUGAUUUUUAAAUAUUUUAAGUUGUUAAUAAUGUAAUUUAUAAUAUUUUUACGUAAUUUGUAAAUACUUAAUAUAUAUUACUCCACUUGUCUCAAUGUAUGUAGCAUAGAUAAAAUUUCAAGAGUUAAUCAAAUGUUGUUAAUUGUUAAGACUUACAAUACAUUUUACGUAGCUUUCAGUAAUUUGACAUUAAAUAAUACAUAUUACUACUUUUGUCUCAUUUUAUGUGACAUUGAUAGAUUAAUUUUAAGAAUCAGUUAAUUUCUUUUUUUGUGCAUUUUUAAUAAAUAUUUUAAGUUGUCAAUUAUCACGAUUUAUUGUAUUUUAUACAUAAUUUUUAACGAUAGAUUAAUUUCAAGAAUCAAUCGAAUUUUUUUAAAUGUAUUUAUUUUUGAAAUAUUUUAUGUUGUCAAUUAUCAUGAUUUAUAGUAUUUUUACGAUAGAUUAACUUCAAGAAUCAAUGGAAUUUUUUGUAUCUUUUUCAAAACAUAUUUUAUGUUGUCAAUUAUCAUGAUUUAUAGUAUUUUUACGAUAGAUUAACUUCAAGAAUCAAUGGAAUUUUUGUAUCUUUUUCAAAACAUAUUUUAUGUUGUCAAUUAUCAUGAUUUAUAGUAUUUUUACGCAAUUUGUAAAUAUAAAAAAAAAAUUAAGACAAAUAAAUUAAAAUGGACGAAAUAUAUGCUAUUUUUGUUGUCUCAAUUUAUGUGACACAAAUGAAAUUUGGAGAGUCAUUGAAUAUUAUAUAUUAUACUUGGGCAUAAACUCUCUUACGCACGGGCCCAAUAACUAUUAUUUUUUGUCCUAAUGUAUGUGACACAGAUAAAAUAUAGUGAGUUAUUUAAAUUUAAUAUGAUUUUUAAAUAUUUUAAGUUGUUAAUAAUGUAAUUUAUAAUAUUUUUACGUAAUUUGUAAAUACUUAAUAUAUAUUACUCCACUUGUCUCAAUGUAUGUAGCAUAGAUAAAAUUUCAAGAGUUAAUCAAAUGUUGUUAAUUGUUAAGAUUUACAAUACAUUUUACGUAGCUUUCAGUAAUUUGACAUUAAAUAAUACAUAUUACUACUUUUGUCUCAUUUUAUGUGACAUUGAUAGAUUAAUUUUAAGAAUCAGUUAAUUUCUUUUUUUGUGCAUUUUUAAUAAAUAUUUUAAGUUGUCAAUUAUCACGAUUUAUUGUAUUUUAUACAUAAAUUUUAACGAUAGAUUAAUUUCAAGAAUCAAUCGAAUUUUUUUAAAUGUAUUUAUUUUUGAAAUAUUUUAUGUUGUCAAUUAUCAUGAUUUAUAGUAUUCAAAGCUAGAAAAGGAAAAAAUAUAUAUAUACUCCCCUUGUCCCAUUAUGUAUGAGUAAGUUUGAUUUAACACAAAAUUUAAGGAAAAAAAAGACUUUUGAAAUAUAUGGUCUAACAUAAGUGAUACUCUCUUUGUUCCUAUUUAUAUGUCGUCCUUACUAAAAAUAGAUGGUCUUUAAUAUUUGUCAUUUCACAAAAUGAAUACAUAAAAAAUAUUAUUCUUUCUAUUUUACCCUUUGAAAGUUAUUAACCUUGAAAGUAUACAUUUAUCCAACAUAGAAAAACUAAGUGAUUAAUUUAUUUUUAUUGGUCAAAGUAGUUAAUCAAAGUAAAUUAAUUUAUGUUCAUUUUUUGAAAACUUAACUUCAAGAGAAUACAAAAUAAGGGUACAAUGACAAACUUACUUAGUUUCUUAAAGGGUGUGAAACCUAAAACGGUGACAACUGGAUAGGAAUGGAGGAAGUAGAUGUCUAUGUGACUGUACAUCAUUUCACUAAGGAUAAAAUGAAUAUUUUAAAAUUAAAUUAUCGCUAAAUAUAGAAAUGUGUUAUUUUUUUAGACCGACUAAAAAAGUAAAUGAAUCGUAUAAAUUAGGCAUAAUACAUAAAUAUGUCAUUUAACUUAGCCUCAUUUCACAUUUAUACCUCCAACUUUAAGUGUGCACAAAUAGACACUUAAACUUGUGUAAAGUUGAACAAGUAGACACAUGAGUUCUAUGUGGCAUAAUACACACAAUUUGCCAUGUAGGAUGCGUGUCUAUUUGUUUAAUUUUAUACAAGUUUGAGUGUCUAUUAAUUGUGCAUUCUCAAAGUUAGAGGGCAUAAAUGUAAAAUGAGGUAAAGUUAAAGGACAUAUUUAUAUAUUAUGCUUAUAAAUAUAGGGUAGAGGGAGUAGUAGAUUUCAAAUUGGUAAUAUGGCAAUCAUGAUAUAUUGGAUAGGAUAUUUAUUAAAUAAGUUACAAAUUCUAUUUUUUUACAUAAAAAAAUAUUCCUCUGAGUUGGGGUAGCUUGCUAUCACUUAAUAAAAUGUUUCUUUGAUAUGUAUUAUAAGGAAAUAGGAAGAGCACAUGAACAUAUUAAUUAAGAAUUGAAUAAUAAUCAAAGAUCGAAUUUUAACAUACCUUAGGAGUAGAUUAGAACUAGAAGCUCAUAAUUUCCCAAGCUCUCUUGCUCUUGUUGAAUUCUCUUUGCACUAUUUACUACAGAAGAGCAGCAACGUUUUAUUUUGAUGAAUUUUAGUGUCAUUAUAUCUCCAAUACUCUCCGGAAUCUCCUCCAGUUGAAUAACCCAAUGCAGUAUUAAUUGCUCAAGCAUCGGAAAAUUAUCACUACCAGCUGCUUCCCACCUUUUCAGAUCAUAGUUCCCAUACAGUUGUAGAUAUUUUAAUUUAUGAAACACAACAUCUUCAUCUACUUUCCAAUCUGUUCCAGCAAAUGCAAAAUUCCCUUUGAGCACCUCAAGAUUCGGUAAAUUAGCCAGCAAAUUCACAACUUCCCAUGGUAUACGAGUACGUGUUAAUGUCAACUUCUUGAGAUUAGGAAGAAAAAUAUCUCCUGAGAUAAUCAUCGGAUCAAUGUUUUCUUGUGUUUCUAUGUGUAGUGUCUCCAGAUCCUGUAACAUACUGAGAGAAUCAAGAAAAUCAGGAUGCUUAGAUCUAUUUAAAAUCUUAAGCUUUUUUAGAUUGGGAGUUCUUCUUAUGAUUUCCGCAACAAAAGGAGAGUUACGGAGAUAAAGUGUUUGCAAGUUAUUCAGAAGGCACAAAGGUUGUUCUGCUUCAUCAGGAUUUGAUAUAUAUAGUGGAAUAUCAAUAUCCAAAUGUCUUAUCUCUGACAUUCUCCAGAUAUCUAGUGGCUGCUUCAAUGUUGUUGGUCCGAGAUAGACAUGCCUUCGAAUAAUUAUGGUCUGUAGAUUUCUCAUUUUGGCUAGUGAAAGAGCUUCCUCAAUUCUUACAGCAACAUAUCUCAAAUGUACAAGUUCAGGUAUUACACAAGAGAAAUCGUACAGGACUGGUAACACGUCCAAUACCUUAAGCAACUUGAACUGUGAAACAAUGGAACACAUCCGUGUUGGAAAAUGUACUUGCAUUGAAAUAAAGGUGCGGAUAAUACCACUGCUAUGUUGCAUACCAUAAUCAUGCUUCUCUUCAACUUCAGACAGAAGGAUCAUUCGAUGUUGAUCAUUCCCAUUCAUGACAUGCACAACACUUUUCGUAUGAGCUUCACUUAUGCAUAGUUGGCGAAGAAGAUCAUGAAUUUUGCAAGUUUUCAUCCUUCCAGUAAGACUAUGUGUACCAGUCAAAAUUAGACUUCUAUCAAUUAACUCUUGUACAUACUCCUCUGCCACCACUUCUAACCUUGUAUUGCUUCUUGCCUUUACGAAUUGCUCAGCAAUCCAUAGCCUAAUCAACUUGGAAACAUCAAUCUCUCUGUCUUCUGGAAAAAAUCCAAUGUAGAGAAAACAAUCCCUCAAAUAUUGGGGCAAGUAGUUGUAGCUCAAAGAAAGAAUUGAUUGGCAUCGUUCGGUUACUGUACCAAAGAAUGACUUCAGAUUUUCCUCAACCUCCUUCCAAUUGUCAUGCGUUAAGUCCAUUUUUACAAAAAGUCCAGCAACAACAACAAUAGAGAGAGGUAAUCCUUGACAUUGUCGUACAAUAUGCUUCCCUAUUUCUACAAGUAAAGGAGGACACGGAUCGUUUUUGAAUAAUUUUUCGGU
rnacentral:lncRNA from 1 species